rnacentral:lncRNA from 1 species
UUUUUUUUUUUUUUUUUGUGAAAUCUCUUAGAUCCUUUAGAGAAUCUUGCUGUUUACUCUCUCUUUUUUUCUAUUCCCUAUCAAGUAUGAUACAUUCAACAAGAAAUGAUCCCUAACAAAGCUCCACAUAGACGAGGUAAACCAUGUCUUCUGACUUGAGUUCCUAAGCCGUGAAUCCAUGUCCAACAGUCAAUAAUAUUCUCAUAAGCUACAGUUGGUUAUUUUGAUGAAUUAAUUGUUGUUGUUUUUGAAUGAGAUUCUCACCUCAACAGGUUAGAGUUGCCCCUCUUCUUGCUGAAACAGACUUUUUUUUAUUAUUUUUUAAACAACCCAUAAGCUUGGGGCAGUUGGUAAACAGGUUACUAAUGCCAAUGAAAGGUUGCAAGUUCGACUCCUGCAUAUAACGCCUUGAGUCGAUCACCCUCGAGUAAAAGUCAGACUUUGCGGGCGCUUUUAGACCCUAGUUUGGAGAGAUAUAUGAAUGCACAAAAUCAAAUUUGCAAGCAAAAAUAGGGCUGCGUAUCAAUCUAUAAAAUUGGGCUGCAUAUCAGUCGAUCGGCUCCUGAUCGCGAGCAGCUCGAGUCAAAACUCAACUCAAAUUCGAUAAACACUAAGUUCGAGUCAAACUCAAGCUAACCAAGUCGAGUUCAAGCUCAAAUUCAAGUUUAAAGAUACUCAACUCGUUAGCUCGCGAACCAACUCGACUAUAUAUAUAUAUAUUAUUUUAAUAAUAAAAUUACAUAGAUAUUCAUAAUAUUUUAUUAUUUAUUAAAAAUUUACUAUUUUAUUUAUUUUAAAUUCUUUUUAAGCUCGAGUUCGAGUUUGACUCAGUUCGAAUUUGAAGUCGAGCUCAAACCUGAGUUUUACAUUAAGAGUUUAUUGAGCUCAAAUUUGAUAAAAUCAAAUCAAAACUCGAUUCGAUUAGACCAAAAUUCGACUCGAUUCAAUUAAAUCAAAAUUCAACUUAAUUCGAAUCGUUUGCAAUACUAGCAAGAAAGAAUGAUGAUAAAUCUGUGUUUCUUUUACCUUAUAACACUUUUACUACACCCCCCGGGGGGCCACAGCUGUAGGCAGGCAAGCUGCUUUUAUUGAGAGUUCUGUGGAGAAUGCUGGCGAGUGGCGGCAUUGGUCGGGUGAUCAAACAUUUGCAGGGGUGACUGGGGCGGACGGGAGAAUUAAGAGAAAUAGACAGGUGAGCAUGAUUUCAUCCGAUUCUUUUUGCUUCACUUAUUUGACAGUUUUUAUCUUUUCGGAGAUAAAACAGAAAUUUUUUGAAUUUCCAAUUUCACUCUCUCAAACUACAUUAAAGUGCUGUUUAGAAAUUAAGUAAUCCACGUUUCACAAUAGAAAGUCUCAAGAGAGAGAAAGUUUGAGAUCGAAGCCAAUUUGAAGUGGAUUUACUUAAAAAAAUUCAGGCGGGUGCAUAAUACACCCGUUUAGUCCGGUGAUAGUUCAGUCCUCUCCGAAUUACCCCUGGACCUCCUUAGGUCCACCCCUCCCUCUAGUGUAGGAUAGAUUAGGUUAUACAAUAAUUAUCGUCUCUGAAAAAAAAAAAAAAAAAGCCAAUUUGAAGUUUUUAGAAAUAGUUCAAGGACUUGAUCAGUCUACCCAUUGGAUUUCUCUACUUCUCCUAACACCCAACCUAAAAGAUCCAAUGCAUCGCCCUAACAUUAAAAGUCAAACGUGUCACCCACAAAUUAUCAAUUUUUUUUUUAAUGCAGAAACUUGGACUAUUACUUUCUUAUGUUAAAUUAAAUAGUUGCAAUUAACCUAAAAAUAAAUUAAUAUGACACGCUGAUAGUGAUAAAAGAAUGUAAGAAACAUUGACAAGAAUUAAAGGAACUUAAUCAUGAAGCAAUCCAAGUUUCACACUGCUUACACGUUGAUUAUUUUUAUGAAAGACGAUAACAUAUAUAGUAUUAAACAAAGUGAGCAAGCUUUACAGUAAUAAUCAGACUUUUUUUUUCCUUUGGGAUGGAUCCUCUAAAUCAAUUGAAUUCAAGCUUGGCUAUCUUAUCAAGUUGAACAAUAAUAUAUUUUAGGGAAAAGGGGAGCUCCACACCAUAUCUGGUAAUUGAACAAGCAAUAUGGCCAUCGUUUUCCCGAAAAAAAAAAAAAAAAAACAAGCAAUAUGGCCCCCAAAGAUAUUAAAAAUAACUUCCAGUCACACGCUAAGCCAGCAACCAAACUGGAAAAAAUCCUAAAGAAAUAUGCCAAUUAGGUACCUAAUGCUGGCAAUAAGUCACCCCAUUUGCACGCAUAGGGCCCGCGGGCCUACACCACCACAGAUUUCAAAGUGCAAAAUAGACACUAGCACAUGGGUGGACAAGCCCUACAACAAUCCCUUGACAGUUUUAUUAUCUUUAGAAUCAUUCCAGCUGGAGUACAACGCUAUACAAGAUGGACAUCCAAACUGAAGACAUGCUUACAAGUUGAUGAUGAUAGUGGCGUAGAAAAUAAGGAGGCUACUAAUCCACCAACGCAGACAGAGAAAGCAAGAGAGCAAAAAGGAUUUAGUCCUGGAAGGUAUAGGAGACUUUAAUUAUGAGAGAGCUGUUUUUGUUUACUUCCGAGUAGAUUUUAAUAGAUGUAUUAAGCAUGGUAACGACCACUGGAAGCAUAGUGUGAACAUUCUAAUAUGAAUGACAGAUGCAAGAAAAAAAAAAUAGAGAAACUGCAAGACAUAGCAUUUCGACACUUCAUCCUUUAAAUACACAAAUUCAAGCAAUUAGUGUUCCGAUUACCACAAUCAUAUCUAUUAGUAUGUCUGUCAAGGUCAGUUAGUCCAACAGCCAAGCACAACCAGAACAAUCACAAACUUCUACCACUCUCCGGAACACCUACCGACUCACUAUAUCGCUACAGCAUUUCUUACAUGAAACUAUAACAAUAUCCAUGGCAGAGUAACCAUGAGAGCUCACAUUGCCAGAGAAAAAAUAUAUCUAUAUAUACUUCAUUACCGGAUUAAGCAGUUAUCGCGGGUUUACUGGGCCUUUUUCCUUCCAUGGCAUCCUUCUUCUUACGACAGGUUGCACAAAGGAAGGGCCCUUCCCAUGGCUUUGAUCCAGGUGAGAAAAAAGGCCCUGAAUUAACAGAUAAGCCAUCACUGGGCUGCUGAUCCACUUGGCAUAUCGCACAUUUGAACAGCCCAGAAUUUGAGUUCAAAGGAAAAUCCUUACCUAACCUGCAUGUAGUCAAGAUGAACAGAGUUUAAAAAACAGGCAUAACGCAACAUGACACAUGUGGCCUUUUAACUCAGGAUUGGGGGGAAAGAUAGUUUUGCAUCAAUUAAAGCAGCUAUAUGUUUGAGGACGUACAUGCAUCUCCACGAGAUAAAAACUCAGUAGCCCACCAAGUGUGGAGUUGGAACAAAUAGCAAAACCAGAAACAGAUUGACACUUCAGGUCUAUCAUUCACAAAAAAUCAUUUGCCAGGCAUCAAUACAAAGACAAUUAAACAGACUUCUGUAAAAAUUAUCAACAAGGAAGAAUAGUGGCAUUUUUCCAUCCUCAAUUCAUAAAAAUUCCCAAGAAUAUCAACUCAUCCACCCUCUGAGAAGUCAUCAAUUUACUACCCAGCUUCAGAGAAAGGAAACCAGCAUUAAAUAGCACUUUUAAAUUAGAACUUUUAGCUCAGCAACAGCCAGUAAGUUAGGACAACUUCAAAUGCAAUCAUGGGGCAGUUUAACCCAAAACGCAAUAAUGAAGAGUUUGUGCAUUUGAUCAUCCGUUGCAGGAUAGCACUUUUGAAGCCAACCAGACCACACCGGAGCUAAAAAUAGAGUAUGCAAACCUUCUGUAUCAUCAAAUUCUGGGCAUAUUUUUCAGCAGUCCAAAGAAAAGAUGAUAGACAAACCAUACUUUUAAGCUUCUGAAUGCAAGAGAAGAUCCACACUUCUAUAUCCAAAGAAAGUAAAAUUUGAAUGAGGCCUAAGAAGAAGGAAUGACACAUAAGGUUCUAUACACCCUAUGUAACAGAAGUUCAACAAUAGCCUGUAGGCACUGCUAGAUUUUGACGGCUCAAUAAUAAUGUCAUCGUCCUCCAUUAGAGUUAUUGAGGUAUUGAACACAAUUAUCUUCGUAUUAAUAAAGAGCAGAGACAAUAUGUGAUAUAGUAUUGGUCACCCAGCUUGCCCUCAUCUAUAGGUUCCAUCAUGAAACCAAAACCAGAGCACAAUGUACUCCUAAGCACCUAGGCACCUUUAAAUAAUAUGUGCUCCAGCAAAAAUGAAAAUUGAGUAGUAAUAAGGAUUACCAACACAAAAGAUCCUGCACCUACAACAUGCACUUAUAAUUAAACCUUAACUUCUGCAUGCUAGGUGUCUCUUCAUUUGGAUAAAAUUAAACAUCCUACUCUCAUUUCAUAAGGCUUACAUGAAAAGGAAACUUCAGUACCUUUCUGCAAGCAUUGCAGAGCCUUCUUCAAACAAUUCCUCCACAGCCCCAACGGCAGAGAGCUUACUACUUCCUUUGUUCAUAGAAUUCUCGGACCUCUUCCCAAAGAAAAGUGAAUUAAGAAGUGUAUGUUUCUUUUUAGGAGUAGGAGGCAAGACAGGGUGAUCAUAAGGAAUAAUAUCAACAACCAAGCAGGUAGUAUCAUCCUUCAGACCUCGUGACCUAAGAGCCUCCUGAAUGUCAAAAGUAAACAAGAAUUAGUACAAAGAACUAAGUGAAAGAGAAAAGAACUUCAAAUAAUGGAAAAAAAAAAUCUCCAUCUCACAUCACCUUAACAACUAAUUUUGCAGCAAGAUCGGCUGGCAAGCCCCGGCAAGACUGCGCAGCCUGAUCAGAUGACAAUGCAUCCCAUAUACUAUCAGAGGCAAUUAUAAGUCUUCCUCCAGCACUGGAAAGCUGACAACCAAAGGAAGUAUGGUUAAGAAACAUACUAACAAAUAAGAAAAAUGAUUUUCCAACAAAUACAAACCUUCACUUGCUUAACAUGAGGAACAGGUACAAUGAAUUCUCCAACAUCCGUGUCACCAAUUGACCUGGAAAGACACAAUCCACCUGGCCAGCAUCGCAAUGGACCAACCUAGAUACCAACAAGAAGUUUUGAUUCCAAAUGGAUCAUUCGGUUGACUAAAUUUGUCAGCUAUAACCUAUUUCAAUGCCAAAUAACUAACAUAUCGCCCGUACCUCAUUUCCCCCAACAUUAAGCCUGCCAACUUCACCACCACUAGCAGUAACACGCUCUCGUUCUUCAGCAUUUUCUUCCAAUCUAUGGUUACCUGUUAAAAGAGAAACCACACCACCUUGUGUAUCCAAUAUGCACCUAGAAUCUCCAACAGAUGCAACAGUCACAGUCCACCCAUCAAUCACAACAAAUGUAACAGUUGUUCCUGAUUUCUCACCUGUUAUACAUAUCAAUCGCCGAAAACUGAGAAACCCAUCAAGGUAAAACAGGACAGAUCCUCCAAAAAUCUAAUAGUAGGUAUAAAAUGAUACCUACCUCCUUGCCGAAAUUCUAUAUCAGUUUUCACAAACCCAGCAACCAAUGCACGAGGAAGGGCUUGAAGCCACUCCUCCCCACCAAGUCCUUCAGGUAUAGCACUCAAAACAUUUUUCAACAAAUUCUCUUUCGCAAAGAUAGCAGCCGAUAUACCAUUAUGGCCAUCGAAAAUCUACCAAACAGAAGGCACACAAUCAGCAACCCCAUUUACCAAAGUCAUACACUCUUUAAAAAAAAAUUAAUAAAAGUUGGUAAUUACCGCAAAAACCGAGAAAGAAGUCGACUGAUUGUCCACAACUCUCUGACAAUCUGGCUUGAUCAAAAAAUAGUCCUCCCCUUUUUUGGCCAGAGCAGUCUGCCCAUACUUGACAGUGCGCUUCUCCACCUUCUCAUUCCUGAGCUCACGACCAAUCAGAGCCCCAAGAGGAACAAGUGGUGGCUUUUGCUUCAUCUUCGAAAUCUCCGCUUUACUCAUUCUAUUUUUCGUCCCAAUAGUGCCAAAGCCUCAUUGUCCCCACCCUAUUAACCCAAAAAAAAUUAGACUAUAAAUCACAAAACUCAAAAAUUCAUUUUCUUUGAACCAAAUCAUCGAACAAUUGAGAAGCAUUUUACAAAAGACAAGGAAUUAAGCAAAACCCAGCACACAGAUCAACAGAUUAAUUACAAUGAGAGCUUAAUUCUUCAAUCAACAGUCAUACAUCAAUCUCAUAUACUCCUACAUUACCUUCAUAAAUCAUAUGAAUCUUUUGGAAACACCAAAUAACAAAAAGAGAAAAGGAAAUUUUGUAUGGAAAAAUACAAAAAUGUGUAAAGAAGAACAUCAGGGGAGACAGAGAGAGAGAGCCUACACUUACAGAGAAGGCAUUGAGGGGAAAUCAAAUUGAGAAGGAAAUAGAGAGCAACAUCUGGAAGAUGGUGGAAACUGCAGUACCAGUACCAGAUUAGUAGAAUGUAUGGGGUGGACUGGAUUUGGGGAAAUUUGGAAACCCUAGAUAGAGUGUGUGUGUGUGUGUGUGUGUGUGUGUGUGUGAGAGAGAGAGAGAGAGAGAGAGGGAGGAGAGAGCGUGUGACUGGGUUGUAUUUUUGUGUCCAAGAGGAGUGCUAAGCUGAGCUGAGCUGAGCUGAAUCUGUGAUUUGAUUUGGGUUGGAGCGAGAGAAAAAAUCUAGAGACGAGGAGAAGACGCGGAAAUUGGGCACGAAAAAUAUAUAAUGUGAAAGAAAAAAGGAGGGAAUUGAUGGGCCCAACCCAAGUGUUAUUUAGAUUAUGACAUAUAUGUUUUUAAAAAUUUUUUUGGAUAACUUGUUUUCUUUUUCUUUUUUUUUUGGGGGAGGGGUGUGUGUGUGGGGGGGGGGGGGAAGGGAUUGGAAAAUGACAUUUGUGUCUUAAUUGAAGUUAAAAGAGCAAUAAAUUACUAAAAAGUAAAAACUCGUUCAAACUAAUCCCUUAUAAAACAACAUACUAUGAGCUCGACUUAUACGUGUAAAAAAAAUCGAUAAUUCAUAUGUAAAUAAUUCAAAUUAAUUAACUUUAGCUUAAAGAAUAAAUAAGUUGAAUUUAGACACAAUUUCAAUCUUGUUAAACAAAUCCAUAUGGUAAGGAUUAAUUUUUAUGUACCAAUUGUGUAGUGAUUUUUUUACACUAGUGAUUUUAAAUGUAUGUCACAUGUGCAUGAUUUGAAACUCAAAUUUAAAUUCAUGUUAGGUGGUAUAAUCUAAACCUACAAAUAUAAAAAAAAUUAUAUGCUUGAAAGGCAAGAGUGUGGACUUAAUUAGACUCCUUUAUGCUACUAUUAAAAGUCCAUCUCCAAGUUUAAUUUGCUUUUCUUUCUUGUAUGUAUGGCCAUGUUUAAUAACCUGAUUUAAUAUUUAAUUCUAAUGGAUUCAGAUUUUAAUAUAUUCAGACGCAUUUGAUAACCAAAAAUUGAACAUCUGAAUUAAUUAAGUAACACUGAAUUUUCUAGGCAAAAUUUGCUUCUAAAAAUAAGUGAGAAACUAUUUACAUAUCAUUGAAAAUGAUAUACAUUCAAAUGUAUUUGAUUUAAAAUUAAUGAUUUAAUAAUUUAAUAGAUUCAGACUUUAGAUUUCAAUUUUUAGAUUUCACUUUUAUCAAACACACCUAUGUCUUUUUUCCUUGUCUCAAAUCAAAAUAUUCUUUUCGGUAAAAUGGACUAUGAUCCCCUCAUCAUUGAUCAUUGAUACAUGUUGAUGUAUUUAUCUCCAAUUUGGAUUGCAAUUUUUUGAAGUUUUGUAAAAAAUGUGCUGUAAUAUUUGAUAUAUAUGAGAUAAAAAGAUGAUUGAAAAAUAUAUUCACGAAAAAUUUAUAAAUUUUUUGGUGGAAAAUGGCUUUCCAAACAAGGCAUUAACUUUUUGAGAAAAUUACUAAAUAAAAAUUUUCUCAAACAAAUUUUUGGCUAGAAGCUUUAAAUUUUUGGUUAAAAAAAAACAAUAAGCAUAUAAAAUUUCUUGGAGUUAUAGUAAUUUGUUGAGCAAUAAUGAUAUAAGAGUAGAAUUUCUUUUUUAAAUAUGAAAACACGAUCUUUAAUGAGAUUUUGUUGUAAUUAUCUUUUAAAACUAGAGAAUCUGGUGAUUACAAUAUGCACAGAAGCAGUGACGGAGCCAGGAUUUUUUCCUUGGGGGGGCCAAAAUUUUUUCGAUCAAAAUUAUCUUAAUAUGUUAUGUUCAAACUAAUUUUUAUUUAUUUAAAUAUAUGACAUCUUAAAAUAUCAAAUUUUAAUUUUAAUUAUAAAGGUAUAUCUAUUUUAUAAAUAUGUAGCAUAGUCAGAACUAAAAUUAAGAUAAGAAAUAACAUUUGAUUAAAUAUCUUAUAACAUCACAAACCACUUAAGUUGUACAUUAUGAGAAGAUGCUCCAAUAUGUCACCUGUGCAAAAAAAAAAAUAUAACUAUGUAAUAUAAAUAUAAUUAUUUUCAAUUAAAAAAAAGAUAAAAGUUAUGUUAAUAUACCUUGAAAUUUCAUCCUCUUUUAUUAAAAGUAAAUUGAGAUUUACGUUCUUUCAUAGAACUAAAUUCAUCUAUAAUUGAAUCGGUGCUAAAUUUUGAUCAUCCUUUUUUUUAUGUACAUUGUUAGACAAUCAUUCAAGAAAUUAUCUUUUAUCUUGUUUUGAUUAUAUUCACAAUUGAAAAUGUAUGUUCUAUAGUUGCAGUUAAUACAGAAAGAGUGAGAACAAAUAUAAUCAAUCUGCCAAUAACAGGAUGUAUCACUCAAUUUCUUGUUUUCACCAAGCUUUCAAGUAAUUAUUUGUAUAUUUGUAUAUGAGUCAACAAGAGGAUAGAUCACUAAUUUUAAAUUUUUUAUCAAUUAGGCUAAGGUGUAUAUUUGUAUAUGGACCAAUAAAGUAAUUAUUUUUAUUUUAGCCCAUUGAUAAUUAUGAAUUGAGUCUUUCAUUAUAAUACAUCAAAUUGGGUCAAUUUACUAUGGAUUAUCAAAUUAUAUGUUUAAUUUUUUGAAUGUUAAAUAAUUAGUACAAUAAAAAAUAAAUAACUUUUUUUUGAAGAAAAAAUUAAAUCAAAAGGUGGCUAAUUCAUAUACACACACAGAUAUAUAUAUAUAUAUAUAUAUAUAUAUAUAUAUAUAUAUAUAUAUAUAGCUCUCAUAAUAUAAACUAAAAUUAUAAAAAAUUAGGGGGGGCCACAUUUAACUUAUACAUAUAUUUACAUAUUAUGAAUUAAAAUUUUCAAAACUUAGGGGGGGCCAUGGCCCCCCUCUGCCCCCCCUUGGCUCCAUCAUUGCACAGAAGAUAAUUGUAGCGAUUUAUCUAUUAGAAGACAAUUAUGAAAAUUAUUGUAUUUUUUAAGUUUUAUUAGUAAUUUUUUUCAAAUUUAUUCUAUAUAUUAAAUUGUAAAUAUGUAAUUUUUAUUACAUAUUUAACCCGUCAUUAAGAUAAUAAUAUAAAUCAAAUCAUGUUGGAUGAUUUCAAGCAAUCUGUUGAUACAAUUUUCUUUUAUCAAAACAAAAAGAUUGAGAUUAUGAGAGAGAAUUGCUAAUGGUUGAUUGAGAUGAUGUUGAAGUCCACCUGCCGGGACCGGAGUAUUCUAAGGCUGUCAUGGAAUUUUGUGGAAGGCGGGAUUUUCUAACAGGCGUCUGGUGGAAGACAAGUACACAGCAUAAUUGUGUUUUAUAAGGUUUCGUCUAAUCAUAUACUCCCUUCCUUUUUUUAUAACUGAUGUUUAAGGUUUUGCACACCAAUUAAGAAAAGUUUUUCAUUGCUUAAAUCUGUACACUACUUUCCUUUUGUACCCUCAUUAAUUAUCCAAUUCACCCAUAUUUUCUCUCACUAGAGUAAUAAAUGGUGCUGUUUUACUAGGCCAAAAGUAGUAAUUAAGAACCCUGUAUUGGAAAAGAGAGAUAAAAGGGUAAAAUUGUGAAAAAAUAAUUAAUACUGUAUGGGGAUAAUAAAACGACAGAUAAAAGUACACUAGAGCAAAUUUCUUAAACGUCAGUUAUAAAAAAAGGGAGGGAGUAUAUGUUUAAAUUUUUAGUGUAUAAAUAUAGGAUAAAAUUGUACUAAAUAUAUGUCAAAUUUUUUAUUCAUGAGUCUAUUUAUAAAAAGCAACUCACCACAUUCGUAACCAAUAAAUACAAACGUGGAAAUUCUAAAAUCAAGAAGGUGAGUUAUCCAUUAAUUUAUUUUUGUCGCUUAGUAUAAGAUUUUCCUCUAUUCAUGUACAUCACUUUUACCUCAAAUAGAAUAAUGCAAUGGAAUUGUAUAUCAAAUAAUGUAAAAAGUAUAACAAUCGAACCAUACUAGGUUCCAACCGCACUGGCCCCUUUCCUGUCUAGUAAAAACUAACAUAUCUAAAUUAUUAUGUAAGUGCACCUAUUACAAAUUAUUGCCCUGUAUUUGUUUCUUUCUUAAUAUGACAGAAGUGAGAUUUAAUAAAUAAAGAGAGACAAGAGAUUCGAACUCAUGAUCUUUAGAUCUUGAGACCUCAACUAUAGUCACUAAGCCAAUUAUUAUUACCAUAUCUUUGCAUUUUUAUACUUUUCCUAUAACUCUCUAUUUUUUCAAAAUAUCAAUACUAAACUCUAUUUAAUAAAUACUCGUUAAAUAUACCCUUAAACAAAUUAAUUCACCCAAAUUAUGGCAAAUAUAUAAGUGAAUAUUUAAUAUCUUUCUCCCUUUAAAUGUUGGUCGUGUUUGGAUUGCAAUUUUCUGAAGUUUUUGUAGAAAAUGUAAUGUAGCGAUUUGAUUUCUGUGAAAUAAAAAGGUGAUUAGAAAAUGUAUUCACUGAAAACGUAGAGAUUUUUUAUGGAAAAUCUCUUUCCUAAUAUUUUUGAAAACUACAGCAAAUGAUAUUGCUAUAAGCCCCUCCCCCAUUGAAAAAGUUAGAGGAAAAAAAUGAUAUUUUGUUAUUUGGUUUGUCUAACAGGUGUUUAUAGGGCACUCGUUAAGAUAUAUUUCAGGUGUUAUAUUUUUUUAAAUCUAAAAUUAAUUAGAAAAAAUAAAUAAAUACAAGAGAGGGUGUGCAAGAUUAAAUUGAGAAAGUAUAUAAAUACAAUGGAGGAUAAUAAUUUUUAGCAUAUAUAUAUAUAUGGUAGGUUAGAUGAAUAUUAUUUGUGUUAACAAUUACCUUAAGGACAGCCGUUAGUCAACCCAUUGUUAUUAGCCAAGUUUUAUUGCCACAGCAAUAUUGUUUUCAAUGUCCAUAUCACUAAUCACCUUUACAAGAAUUGACCAUAAUUACUGCUGUGACAAGGUUAUUAAUAGGUAUUAAAAAAAUUUGUCCUGACAUUUACGUUAUUAUUGCUGUGGCGAUAACACCAACCAACGACUACAUAUUCAUACACAGAAGUAACAUCUGACCAUUUGGGCGUUUGUGAUCGUUCGAGUUUUACUUUCAACAAUAGAUAAUAAACACACAUACCCAAAAUCUAAGAUAACUUCACAAGUUUACUCAAAAGGCAAUUACUGACUUAUGAGUAAACCUGAGGAUCUUAAAUCCUACACACACAUACUUAUCACCACCGACGUGGGAACAAGGAUUUUUGAGUUUUACUAUUUUUGAAUUCUAUUUAAAUUUUUACUAGUAUUUUUCACUAUUGUGAACUCAAACAGUAAGUGUGAGGGUCAGUUACAAUUUGAAUGAGUUAUCUGGUGUAUUGAAAUCAUAAUUGUGGAUCAUACGGUUGAAAGCAACAACCCGACCACCAAAGCCUUUAAGGCUUGAUGGGGUGGGAGGUCAAGGGUUCAAAUCUUGUCUCCUAUCACUUACCAUUAUAUGUGGCUGUCAUUUUAAAUAACUUAAAUCCAUACGUCUUGAAAGACAAAAAAUAAAUAAAAAAGAUUAUACAAUUGAAAGAUGCACCAAAUUAUUUGAUACUAAAAAUAAAACUUAGCCCAAUAAAAAUUUGUUCGAAUUUGGCUCGCUAACUAAUUAAACCAAACAUGAAUAUCAUUUUGUGUUGGUUAAACUUUAGAACUAAACUCAAGGUUAGCGCGAUUAGCAUAAAAUUUGAUAUUUAUAUAUAAAAACAUCAUACUAUUUGGAUUCGAUUUGAUAAAAAUUCAUUUGAGCUCUACUGGAGGAAUAAUCGAGUCAAGUAACAUAUAAUAAAAACCAUGAGAGGUAAAUUUUCCUACACAAAAAUUCACUAACCUGGCCCUAGUCAUGUCAAUAUCAGAGUUGAUGGGUUCCCAAGACAUUAGAAGCUAAUUGGUUGAACUGAUACGGAAUCAUGCUGAUAAGAUACAUAAACUUCUUGUAAACAAUGUUCGGACUUAAGUGCCAUGCAACCCCAUUUGGACGACAAAAUGUCCUUCACGGAUUCCACUUUCUAUACAAGCCAACCAUAUACCUUCUUGAUGCAUAACGCAUCCGUUUGGAUUAGUUAUUUUUGAAGGUGUUUCAAAAUUUUUUUAUUGUAGCAGAGUUUUUAUAGUAUGUUUGGAAUAUUUUUAGAAAAUAUUUUGGGAUAUUUAAAAGUAGAAGAGUUUUUAGAAUAUAUUUUGAGAUAUUUUUUAAACAUUAAAAAAAAUUUAGGCUACUUUUUAGAGUACUUUUUUAAAAUUUUAAAAAUAGUAUUUGAAAAACUCUUGAAUCCAAGCAGAGAAGUUUUUCCAAUCUUUAAGUACCUGAUAAAGUUGAGGUAAUAUAAGAUGAACUUGAUACUUAAGGUAGACAAAGUAGAGCCAUGUAGCAAUAUUUCAAUUUUCUUUGGUAAACCAACACAACCUCGAAGACACUUUGAAGGAAUACAACCGGCCAAAUGAUUAGUCUAAUUUUAAUGUUUUAGCAUACGAUACUAUGAAAGAUGGCAAAAGCAAGCUCUUGCAUCAAUAAUGACUUCCAUUACCAAACUACACAAAUUCUUCUAAACACAACAUGGUACUACUUGUGACGAUGAUGCAAUCCACAUCUAUGAAAGAAUUUUUUGGUUUAUUAAAAUUAAAGAGAAUAAGUGUUGAAUGAUUUUGUAUUGAUCUUGAAACAAGAGAUAAAUCCCUUUUGGUCCCUUUUUUGUUUUUUCUUUCGGAACCCUUUUGUUCACCUUCUAAAAAAUAAUUUGCCUAUUUGGAUUGCAAUUUUUUGGAGUUUUUGUAGAAAAUGUAUAUAGUGAUUUGAUAUGUAUUCGAUAAAAAGAUGAUUAGAAAAUAUGUUCACGAAAAAUGGCUUUCCAAACAAUUAAGCUCAAAAUGUCAUCAAAAUUAAGCUCAAAUGGCUUUCAAGACAUUUUUUCUGUCUCGAAAUGGCAAAAACCUCAAAUAUAAGAGAAAAUGAACAAAGUGUCAUCAAUUUACAGUGGAGCAGAGAUGCAAUUUGAUUUGGAAAUCUUCUUUAAUUGAGCUCAAAGUCUUCAUAGCAUUAUCUAUACAGAGAGCAAUCUCUAUAAUUUUUUUAUUCACAACAACCUCAAAUGUUCAUAAUGCCGUCUACCAAACCAACAAGUGUAGUGCAUUAAUUCCGAAUCAUUUGACACCAAAUCCUCGUCAACAGGCCGGCCUGCAAUCCCAAAUAUCUCCAAUCUAUUAGUACUAAUAAUUGGAAUGUCUAAUAUUCAUUGUGACGGUUCAGUUCCAGAUGUAUGUAUUCUUUGACAAUUAGCAUAACUUUUGUAAACAUUGCAUGUUCUCCAGGUUGGUCUACUUCAUAUAUAUUAGUGAUAUUAAUAUUAUGAUUUCUAGUUGUUUAUCUUUAAACUCCAUCCUUGAUCACACAUUUAGGAGUUGGUAAUGCAUUUCUGAGUUGUCAGACAUUUUAUAAUUCCAAAAUAAUUUCCGGGUCACGAAUUUCAAUUUUUUAUUCAUUUUCAUUUUUAAUGCAUUUCGUGAAAUGUUCUAAAACCAAAUGUUUUCAAUCUGUGAAAUCGUCUGGAACUGUUGAUUGAACUGUGAAGUUUAAUUUCAGAUUGGCAGGAUUCAACUUCCUUGUUUUGAAGCAAAGGAAAAGCUAAAGUCUUUUUUUUUUUUAACUAGUAAAAAGGGUUAACUGCAGUUUCCAGUUUUUCAAUUUUUAGUAAAGGAGAAAAAAUUUAUCUCGGGGGAUAACGUUUGUAGUAAUUUUUUUAUGCACUGUUAGUGUAUACACGAGCGGGUUUAGAUGUAUGACACAUAAUGUGAUUUCAAAUUUGAAAUUCAUUUUCUACAUAUGUGACAUAUAUCUACACUUGUUAGUGUAAAAAAUUCACUACAUUAACAGUGGAUAAAAACUUAAUUCUAACGUUUAAAUGUCCAAAUUUGGGUGAAGUUUGCCAAACUCUUUUACUUCCACCUUUUACUUGAGGACAUUUAUGUGCAUUCCUGGCAAAACAAGGGUGGAAAAAAAAAUUCCACUUAGGACAACUCUUUCUCCAUAAAGAUAAAAUAAGAUAGUUAUAAAUAAAUUAUAAUUUUACAAAACUAUGUCAUGGAUGGUGAAAAUUACAAUUGAAUAACACUACAAAUUAACCACAAGCAGGAGAAGAUAACAGAGUACAACUAUAUAUUACAUAGGAAAAAUGUAAAAGGGGUGCCUUGUUCAAUUGAUUGCAUUGUAGAAGUCCCAAGUUUCAACUCCAUUGACCCCGAUUUUUCUUUUUCUUUUCAUAAGAAGCAAAUUUUAUUAACGGAUUGCUGAAAAUCGUUUAGCACGAUUUGAUUUAUAUCACUGUCCAUUUUUUUACGUCACUGGUUUUAAUGACAUGCUAAACAUGCACGAUCGUAAAAAGAAGAUAAUCAUGAGAAUGACAAGAAAUUAAAAAUCAUGAAAUUGUCAUAAAGGAAUGGUAAGAAAUCAAUUACUAAUUUUAUAUACUACCAAACAUCACAACUACACCAAAUUUAAAGGCAUUGUACUUAAACCAAAGUCUCUUUGAAUAUGCCUUUGACAGGCGAACCCAUAAGGAUUAUCCAAACUAAUAAAGGAAAAGGGAAUCAAGAAUUGCAGGCGUGAAUGAUUGGCCAUGAAUGGCGGAGGUCGUGAUGGAACCAUGCUGGCUUUGUUUUUAAUUUUUCUUUUCUUUUUUUGGUAUGGAUUUACACUUGAUCAAUAGUUAAUUUUUUGGAUUAUUUGGAACAUAUACCUAAUAUCAGAGGUUUUUUUUUUUUUUUUGAAAUGUUCAUCAUACAUCAUUCUAAAUCAGUCUCUAGGCAUCAGCUUUCAGUUGCUAAUUUUUGGGAUACAAUCAUACUCAAACCAAUUGAGCUUUUCCUAACAUCAUGGAAGUGGUGGACUACAUGCUUGAAGGUCUAUUAUCCACUUGUGAUAUAUUAGAUUUGGCUUUCUGGAUUUUUUUUUAAAAAAAUAUUAAUCUCAUGGUCAAUGACUCAAUGAUCUAUCUCAAUGAAUGCAAAACUGCUGUAACUAGAUGCAGAAAUAUGCACCAACCAUGCCUGGUGGUUUACUCAUCUCCUAUUCCCCUCCUGCUCGAACAAUCUUGCUGAAUAUGGUACAUACAACAGAAAAAGAGAGUAAAGAACAGACGACAUAAAUGAUUUCUAUAUCAGUUUUGUUCUUAUCCAUAUAUUCUCCCCAUUUCUGCUAUGGAGCCAAUAAGAAAGGCAGCAAAUUUACAGAAGGAAAAUCAAGAAAAACUACUAUAAACAACUAUGUAACACACUCAUCAGUGGGGCACCAAAAAUUUCAAGAUCACCACUGGACACUCCCAGUUACUGGAACUGUUUCUAUUACCACUUCAUGUCAUUUCUCUGUCUAUGUAUCUUCCUGUCUUUCUGUCUCUGUCUUUGCAAUCCACACCAGAAAGCUUGUGAACACGAAAAGAGAAAGGAAAGAGCAAGGAAACAAAAUCCCUCCGGAGAAACUGCAUGGCUGUUUUUAGCCCUUUCUAUUGCCCCCAAAGCAAAUCUCAUACCGCGUUUCUCACUUGCUGUUCCCUGCUUUUCUUUUUGCCUCACUGGAAAGUGCUUGCUUCCCAGCCUUUGUUAUUGGUGAAUUAAUCCCAUUGGAAAGUCUUCUUGAUGGUGGAGCAGGAAUUAAACUCCUAAUAACAUCAAAACAUACAAAUUAGACCAAUAUUGCACAAUUCUGAAGACACAAUAAACACCAGGGAAAAGUUUUCUUCAAUCCCUCAAUCACAUUUGGUCUUGUUACCAACUAUGCCUUCCUUAAUUUGAAAAUUGAUAAUCAUAUAUUUCCUGCUUAAGAAGUUGGAUUUGGAAUGAAACAUCUAUAUGCUUUCUAAAGGGGCUUUUCAUUUCAGUGGUCAAACCAGUGGCCAAAAGGGUGGAAAUAGAUUUUAAAAAGGAAAGACUGUCAUAGGAGUGUGAAGAGAAACAGGAAAGAAAAUUAGCUGCAAUACCUUAUCUCUGGAGAGCUCUUCACUUGUUUUGGACUAGGUUUCUUUAACUUUGACCCUGUGCUGUUGGACACAUUGGUAACUUUGUGAACAUUGGGUUGCCAAAGAAAAUCCUGCUCAGAAGAAUCACUGGUUGUAGCUUCUAACUCAUCAGAAUCAUCUGUAACCAUCUGAUUUCUACUGUUCUGUUUAUGAUAAAACAUGUCGGGUAGCUGUCUACUUUCUUCUUCCCAUGAUCCUAGCGUGUUAUCUCUUCUUCCACCUUCUUGCUUAAUAACCAUAACCUUGUCCACCCAAUCACGUUCUUUCUCAUCAUCCUUCAGACCAGGACUUCCAACAGGUAGCCAAGGAGGCGAGUUCAUUAGUAAGUCCUGGAGAUCUAAGCUUUUCCUUUUUGGCUUUGAUGCACAGUUAUUCAUAAUCUGCAGAUAGGAUUGCAAAUUGUCAAGCCUCAAUUCCAAUGUCAUCAACUGGCAUUGAUUAGAAAUGUGUAUAAAUAAAAGUAAUCUUCUAAUCCUCUGAGAAAUUCUUCAAGUCUCUUAAAUUUGCCAUCACUUUAAGAACCUGUCUGGGGUGGUUUCGAAGCUGUGUUGCCUUUGCAAGUUAUUGUUCGAUUUGCAGCUUCUGGAACAAAGAAUGAAACAGAAAGACAGAGAAGGGCCGAGGAUGACAGGGGUCACAUUUGGAAAAGGAUAAAGGGAAAAGGAAAACAAUGACUGAGUAGAUGUGAGCAAACACAUUAAACCAUGUACCAGCAGACAACUCCUGCAGCAGACUAAGUGCAUUGCUUCACCAAAAAUAAAACAUUUUUUGAAGAACUAUUUUUAAAGACAAAAGAAAAAAGAAAAAGAAAGUAGUGCAGAAACUGCAUAUACAAAGACUAUCAGUUUUGACCCUGACAACACUCCUCCUCCCCCUGCAGGGAAAAAAAAUGGCAACUUGUUCCAGGAUGAAUAACCAAUAACUUGAAAAAAAUUCAAGCAGCCCAGUAAUCCAAAAUAUUGACAAUAAGGAAAAAAAAUUUCAGUUCAUACCUCUAGGUUAUCCAUGUCUUCUAUCUGUUGCUUAUGAUCACCAGAGAUACUUGAACUUUGCCAACUAGAGCGUGAAGGUGAAGAUCCAGCUGAAGACUUCAACCUGAAUCUCUCUGGACUGCUAGAUCCUGAGUACUGAAGGCGCACUGGUUCUCCUUCCUUUCUUGCUAAAGCCGCCUUGAGGCUAGCAAUCUGAAGAAAAAAAGCAUAAUGGAAAUUUUCUUUUGGCGAGAAACUAAAAAUGAAAACCACAAGAAGGUGACUGCCACUUAUAAGAGAAGAAUGAAAGCAGUGGUAGCUCUAUGCAAGUUUUAUGAAUGAAAUGAAACAGUGGUAGCUCUGAGCAAGUUGUACGAGUGAAAUAAUGAUAGAACUUCCUCUGAUCUUUUGUUAAAAAGGCUGAGAGGACUAACGAGGGAGUUGGUUUAGAAGGACUCAAAGAAGUUAGAAUGAAGACCUGUUCUUUUAGCUCCUUCACAUCAGAAUUUUCUUUGUUUGCUCGAGCAGCACCAAGCUCAACAGAAGAAACCCGUUCUGCAAACUUAAGAGUGCUGAUCGUUUCUCCAAUAGCAUCAUGCUCAGGGGCGAUGUGAACAAACAUUAAUGUCUUUGCUUGCCCUCCUGAAAAUUUUGAAGGCCAAUAGCUAUAUUUAUGCAAGGAAAAAUAAAACAACCGCUUUAUGGGAAAAAACUAGAAUACCACAGAAUUACCAAGUGAAUCUUGCAGCAACUGUGUGAGUUUGCUGUUCCUGUAGGGAACAUGGGAAUUCUUUUGGGCGAGAGAAGAAAUCACAUCACCUAGUGCUGAAAGCGACUUAUUGAUGUGUUGAGCCUCUUUCAAUCGUUCACCCACUGCCUCAGUUUUGUCAACUCUUUCACUUCCUGCCAGGUCAACAAGAUGCAUGCAACCACGAAGGAGUGUGCCAGACGACAAGUUUUUUCCUUGAACAUGAACCGUGAGACAACUGCAAAAUUAAGCCGAUGCAAGAUAAAGAUGCAGACCAGGAUAGCUGAAGACUCCCAAGCUCAAUGUAUCAAUUGAUUUCUUGCUCCACAAACAUAGAUAAAGCAUUAAAUCUCUUCCUUUUUAAUUAAUUACCACACAUAAAAGAAACACAGAGCACAUUGCAUGAACCUCCACAUCCAACAGGAUAAACAAAGGACUGUGUUGAAUGAUCAAUAAUUUAAGUCUAUACCUGUGAGAACGACUACUGCGAUCAUUCAUAGCUGUGGAACCAACUGCACGAUUUUUCUGUCCAAGGUUCAUCAGACUAAUGACACCAGAAGUUGAUUUUACCGGCACAAGAUUUGCAUCUGGAACAUUUAGACCAUUUUGCGAACUGUUUCGAAUUUCUAAUGUUUGUAGGAGUUAAGGACACAAGUACAAUAUCAGUAAAACUUAUGUUGAUAAUAAUAAUAAUAGUUGAAGACACCAGCAUGUAAUAGAAAGGAUAUCUUUUGUUAACACCAUCAGCCACUAGAAGAUCCCUGACUUGCUCAUUGUAAAUUUCAAUCAUCUGAACUGAGAUAUCAUAGGAAAUCGUAUCUUUUCUUUGAUCUGAGAUCAUAAAUAAAUCACUCAAUGCCCGGUAGUUCACCCCCAUGGUUUUCUCUGUAAUAACGUCAGGUCCGGUCUGUUCAAAACCAAAUAAGUAGCGUUUAUCAAAUUAUAGGAAAAGAAUGUGCUAGAUGGAUGCAUUAAAUGCCUGAACUUUCAAGCACAGUAACCAUAGAAAGUCUAACCAUCGUAUGAGUUUUCCCAGAUCCUGUUUGACCGUAAGCAAAUAUGCAUACAUUAUAACCAUCAAGGACAGAUCGUAUCAGAGGUUGAGUGUCUGCAAAUACUUCCGCUGCAUAUUGUUUAUAUAUCCACAGAAAAUGAAAGAAAGAAUUAGUGCUAAAAAAUGGUUAUAAACAGGAUCUGUAAAGAAUGUAAAUUUGGAAACCUAGUGACCUUGGCUUGCAGAUGGACCAAAAGCCUUGUUGAAAGUGAAUGAUUUCCUCCCUUCUUUUCCAUAUUUGGAAGGGGUAAUUAUUGUAAUACUACCAUCAUCUAUGUGGUCCACAGAGCUCAGUUCAUUAGAUUGCCCUUUUACAGGUCUCACUCGACAAUAAACCCUAAUAUUUCCUGUACAGAAAUGAAAUCAUUGUAUGGUAUAGAGAAGUAUUGCCAUGAAGCAUAUAACUUCAACCAGAUAUUAAAAUGAUUACCUUUGAGGUCCUGCACUUGAUUGUAUAGCUUCCUAUUUUCUUCAAGAACUCUCUGAUAUCCUGAAGCAGCAUGGGCUAGGCUGCGCAAGUGCGUCCCUGGAAAGGAAAAUGGUGCAGUGACUUAUAGUUUCUUUUCUCAAUCUCUAUCGACAAAUAUCUACCAGCAGGAAACGGACCAUGUACCUAGGUUGCUAACUUCCUCAUUAUACUUCAUUUGCAGAAGGUUUAGGUCUGCUUUUGUAGAUUGGAUGGUAGACUUCAAUACCUAUUUAAAAUCAAAAUCAUCAUGCUAAGCACCUUUAACUCACAAGCAAUUAAGUAUUUCAGAAUUCAGUCAUGCAGCAGCACACCUGAAUCUCUGUAUGCUGCUUCUCAACCAACUUCAGUUGCCUCACCAGUGUCUGUUUAGGCUGUUUCUGGUUGUCUGAUAUUCCAUCAUCAGUGUCUUUUUUGUCGCAGCAUUUUUUGUGUAGUAUUUCAGGAGGUGUCCUAGUUUCCAUCUUAACCAUUAAAACAGAAACAAACACAUGAUCCAUCUUAGAUAAGAUCCAUAAAAAUUCAGUUCUAGAUGAGUUAGAUAACCUACAAUUAGAUUUAUCUUAUAAAAUUCCAAUUGAAUUUGUGGAAAUAUGAUAAAAAUUGGAUACCUCCAUAGGAGAUGGUAUCAUUGGAGAUUCAUAAGAACCUGAAACAGCCUUAUCUCUUAAAGAUGCUUGUAUCUGCUAAACCACAAAAGACUCAAACCUAUCAAUAUUUAUUUCACUAGAUAACAGAAGAUCAAUUAUAACAACUUACAGAAAUAAGAAAAUGUCAACAAGUCAUCAAAAAAUUUGUUAGGCAAUAUAAUUGUCAUCUACAGUGGAAAUAAGAUGAGAUUGGGAUAAAAAUUGGAUACCUCCAUAGGAGAUGGUAUCAUUGGAGAUUCAUAAGAACCUGAAACAGCCUUUUCUCUUAAAGAUGCUUGUAUCUGCUAAACCACAAAAGACUCAAACCUAUCAAUAUUUAUUUGACUAGAUAACAGAAGAUCAAUUAUAACAAGUUACAGAAAUAAGAAAAUAUCAACAAGUCAUCAAAAAAAUUUUUAGGCAAUAUAAUUGUCAUCUACAGUGGAAAUAAGAAGAGAGGUUCAGCUAACCUGGCCAUUUUGGGUUGCUAAGCGGUGCUCAAAUUCCUCCAUAACUUUGCUUAGCAUGUUCUCCACAACCUGUAACAAAUGGAGGAAAUCUUCAAUCUCAAAAAGCGCACUUGGCAAGUAAAAUCUACCUUACCUAAAGAUGCAAGGGAGAAAUUCUUCACAAUGUCAAUGUGCUUUUAAAGUGGACUCUGUGACACAGGAAAGGUAAUCCGGCACAAAGGAUAUUUAUACUACAAACUCAUUAAAAAUUGACAUAAGAUAUGACCAUGUCAAGGAUCAAAGCAAUUGAUGCUAGUCUAUUAGGUUACAGCCGCAUCAUCUUCAUCUGGAUCUGUGAGAAUUCUCCUCUCAGGCAUGGGAUCUAAGAGGAGUGAUUCACAUCCUCAAAUAACAAAAGCUAGAAAGAAUAUAUGACAUGCUAACAUCUCAUAAAAUCAUUUUGUCAGAAAAAUGCUAUUUUUGCAUUUUUUUCAAGUGUGCUUGUCUCAUAAAAUUAUAUUAGAAAAGCAGACUAGUUAACAAUGAUGACUGAAUGCUCAGACAGGCAAAGCAAGGCCGUCCUGAUCAACCUAUCAGAUGAAAACCCUUUGCUAAAAAAUUAGAUGAUAGCAAUAAAUAAGAUUUAAAAUGACUUACAAUUGGGAUAUCUUCCUGCUUCUUAUCCAAAAGAAGUUCACGGACAAGCAUGUUUAGAGAUGGAGUUUUACACUGAAAAUGAAAAUGCAGAAGAAGAUUUACAUGCUAUCGGUAUAACAUAGUGAAAAUUACAUUUGCAACUUGGUAAACUAACUUACCAUUUCACUGUUUUCCAAUCCUAGAUCACUGAAUGAUAACUGCUCGCUCAAUGACCUAUCAAGGGUUUUGUCACUCAUGGACGAAGUCCUUGAUACGGAAUUCAUGAAUGGUUCUGAAUUUCUCAGUACAAAUUGCUUUCCAGAUGGGGCAGCUUUGACAUUUCCAAAUUUCCACGAUCCAUUUGCACCUCCUUGUUUCCAAUCACUAUAUGACUUCAGUGCUAGUACACAAUUCACCACUCUUGAGGCUUUCCCUCCCUAAGUAUUGAACACAUGGGAAAAUUUGUCAUGGAAGACCAAGCAAAUGACGGAUUUUGCAGCAUCUAAUUGUGAAAUUGCAAUUCAUGUGAGCAUUUUGCAUCAAAUUGGAGAAAUUGAUUAUCUCCUACGUGUAUUUUGAGAAGUAGUAGCCUGCAACUGCAAAGAUGACCCACAUACCUGUUCCAAAUCAGAGGCUUCAAAUGUAGGAAGCCCCAUCUCCUCUAUAGCUACAAGAAAGUUCCUCACAUUUUCAAAGUACUGGUAUGCUGAAAGUGCAGCCCCAUCAGGCACAUUAACAGAAUCACAAGGCAUUUCAACUACCUAAUAGCCAAAGAGAAAAGUAAAAAAUUCAUCAACACAUUGAACCACCAAACAAAAAAUAACACCGUACCAAAUUAAAAAGCUCAAUUAAUCCUACUUUUUGGACUGCACCAGGCUGAACCUUGUUUAGAACAUUGCAAAGUAUUAUCCCACUUCGCAAUCCGAGUCUAAAAUCUUCUUCUGAAGGCUCUGCCGGCAAAUCUUUGCCCCCAACAACUCCAACUGCCUUCCUCAACCAUCCAGCUGCUUCAUAUCUUCUCAACGCUACAACACCAUUAUACAUCCUCAGGUAACAAACACACAAAAAACAGAAACCAUGCACAAUACGAUGAAUCCACAAACCAAUGUCCACCCCACCCCAAUUAGCUAUGAUAACAUGGACAAUGCUGAAACACAAGUAUUCGACUGGAAUCUUUUGUACAUGUGAAAGAAAGUAAGCUGAUUCGGGUAGGUGAAUGUUACACUUACGAUCACAUAAAUACACCUCAUACAUGGAAAGAAUGCAUUACAACCCACAAGAAUAGAAUCGCGUCAUUUUUAAGAAGAUUAAAAUAUGGAUAGGAUAAACACAAAGAGACGGAGAUUAAUGAACAAAAAUAGAGUGCAGAAUACAAUAAAGACAUGAAUUUUGAAAAUGAUCAUACAAGCUUCCUCAGCCUUUCUUGAAGCCAAAUCAAUGUCAUUAAGCCUCUUUCCAUGCUGAUGAAGAACGUUCUCCACCAUUGACGCCACAGAAAAAUCCAGUAAUUCCUCUGUAGCCAUUGUUCAAUUGCAGCAAGAAAAACUUGAUCCUUGAUCAAAAACCUCAAGAACAAUUCAAGAAUCCUAAACUUUCAUCAUCCCAAAUCUCCAAAACGGCCACAAUGCAUGCCUAUAUCACUUUCCAGUUUGAAUCUUUUAUACUUAUACGUCAAAGAAAAACAGAGGCUUGUCAAGGGAAGAAGAUGAAUGUUCAGAGGAAAAUGAAGGGCCAGUUAUAGCAACGCAGGAGAGAGAGAGAGAAAAAGAAAAACCGGGAUGUGUUCUUUUUCUCCCUUUCUUUCUUUCUUUUGCCUUUUUUUUCCUUUUUUUUUCUUUGAGUUGUAUUUGAAAAUUGGUCUUUUUUGAAACUGUAGAAUAGUUAAUACUCUUUGUCCUCUACAUUGCUUGGGAGGGGACUGUUGGGGGACGAUCCUUUUCUUUUUAUUUUCUUGUUAUACUUUUGUGUUUAGAUGCAGAGAAAGGUGGCGGAGGGAAGAAGGGAGGAAGGCAAAUGGGGAGUAAACCAGAAGGCCGAGGCAGUUUCCUAGCCUUGUGGUUCGGGCUCCUGAUGGUUUAUAUUCCACCCGUUUUGGAGAGAGAAAUGUCACCCAUAUUUUAGAGGGAGUAUUUCACUAACCAGAACUUUUUUCAUUUUUAUUUGGGAUAUCUUUGUUCCCAUUUUGCCCUUUGUUCUUUUUUUUAACCUUUUACUUUUCUUUUAAGUUUCUCAUACUAAUCUUAUGUAGCAUUAUAAAAUUUACUUCUUUAUUAGUGCAUUAUAAUUAGAUUUGGGUUAAUCCCCAUUUUUUUUAAUUACACUAACUUUUAAACGCGAGUUUACUAGAAGAGUUCGUCUAGACAAGAGGUUCAGGGCCAAAAAAGUCGUGAAUAAAAAAUCGAGUUCAAAGCAAUAAUUCAUGCAAAUUCAUUUUUCAUUUAGAAUCAAAAUAGACAUAUUAUUGACUUUGCCCAUUUUUCUAGGGUCUGGAUAGCUUAAUUUAGCAAAUAGAGACAUUAGUCAAGCUAUUUUGAGGUUCUUGGCUUGACUUUUUUUCAGAUCUUUUUCUUUUUUCCUUCCCUUUUGUAAGGUUUGGAGUCUACUUUCAGACACAAAAAAAAAGGAAAAAGGAAAAAAUUUUCUUGGUAAUUCUAGCUAGUGGUCUGUUGAAAAGACUAGUUACACACCUAUGACUACCCUUUUUUUUUCUCUUUUUCUUCUCACAAUUAAUUUUAGAGAAUUAAAAGCAUAUUUUUUAUUUUAUGAUAGAUGUUAGGGCAUUGUAGUCUAAUUGGUUAAUUUAUUCUAUAAUACCUGCAGAAAUUUGUCUAUUAAACCCUAGAAUAUGGCAAUGUUGAUCAACUAUGCUUUAGAUAACUAGGAAGACCACAACCACGAAUACUUGAAGGUGCUUUUGAAAGCAUUAGGAUAGAUGAUGUUUCUUUAACCAUGAAAACUUAUUGUUUGGAAAGGGAUUUUUCACCAAAAAAAAGUCUAUAUUUUUCGUGAACACAUUUUUUAAUUAUCAUUUUAUCUCAUAUAUAUCAAAUCGCUAUAGUACAUUUUUUUUAUAAAAACUCUAAAAAAUUGCAACCCGACACGACCUUACUAUUACUUUGUCAGAAUGUUGCUUAGACAAUGAUAAUGGCAUGCAUAUGAUGAAGAAUAUCAGUAGUUCAUUUCCAUCCUCUUGAGUGUAAACUCAAUAGUUUGUAAGUAGUAGCCAUAUACACAUUUACUCAGUUCAAAAAGCUAUUUAUCUCAUCAUCAUUCAUAAGUUUGGACCAAUUCUAGGAUACUAUUCGGUUCACAAACCUAUUCGGACAGAAGAAGAAGAAGAAGUUAAUGCUUGUAAUGACAUGAUUAUCUUAAUCUAGUUAUAUUCUUGAGACCUAGACACUGAAAAGUUGUCAUCCACAGUGAAUUUAUAACCACUUUCUUUACGUGAUUAGGUGGUUAACAACUUAAUUAGUCGCUAUACUGUUAUAAAGGUUACACAUCAACCAAACGUAAAUUUGAAGUAAAACCCAAAAAAUGCUAAUAACAUCAAGCAGGAGAGGAAGUUUAUCCGAAAUCAUCUAAACGGAAAUCUUUCCAACUUUUGAUGUACUUAGCCAUAGAUUAAAAUUAUAUUCCAAUGUGCCCUUAAAAACUUACUUCCUAAUUCAGUUUUUUUUUUCGCACAUGUUUGUUAUUAUGGACUUUAAGUGCUAAGGACAAAUAGCUUAAUCUACAACUCCACAUCUUAAUUAGUAUUCAAGGUAACUAAUGAUGUUGUUAACAUCUCUCUCCAUCAGUAUAUGCUACAUCAGAUAUCUGACCAACAAAACAGGAAGCCAUGGACAAAGAAAUUUAGUCAUGAAUUAAAUUCACAAAAUCAUUGCAAAAGUUUGCAUCUCUUAAAGCUAACAUUUUUGGAUAAGAGAUGUUGCUUCCUGUCCUGGAUGGCCCCGAGGGGACAAGAAUAAAUAUGGUUGAGAAUACAUUUUCGUCCCAAUUAUUAGGAAGCUAACAACACCCAAGAUUCAACCAAAGUUGGGUAAUUUCACUUCAGAUCUUGUAGUAGCUUGUACCCUAUCGUCAUUUGGUUGCUUAAUUUUAGCUCAAUCCAUAUACUAUUGUUAAAUUCAGGCGGAAAUGUUUUGGAAGUGGCUGUAUUUGUCCUAACAUCACAGGGCAUGAUAUCUUAGUGCUCCUUUAUUUGGUGUAUUACAGGCCAAAUAUGUUAAGAAUCAAAUCAAGAUACUAAUAUUGGGAGGUAAUUGUAGCAAAUUCAACUACAAUGGCCAAAGUUUUACGAGCAAACUACAUUGUCAGUGUGUGAAAUUAGUCCACAAAAUUGACUCCAACCAUGUUCUGGUUUAAUUGAGGAUAGAAAAGAGAAAAAAAGGGCAUUUUCCUUUCCAGCAACAGUCCAAAAUCCGAAAGAUCAAACACAUAAUCAUAAGUUUAUCCCAUCAUAUGAGAAGUCCUAUCUUGAGGGGUUAUUUCUAAACUGAAGUAUACGGAAAUCUUUGGACAGAUACAAUGGAAAAGCAAAAGAAGUGCAAUAUGAGGGACCUUGUACAUCUGUAGGUAUGACCUAAAGAUUUCUUUUUCAACUCCACUACUGGAUAUGAAGACAGGUUUAGAAAAAUAAGACUGAGGAUGGAAAAAGGAGGACAAAUUAUGCUUCUGCAAAGGAUAACCCCAUAUAUGUCUUGUACCUCUCACAUUACACUCAUUGAACAUAAAUGAUAAGAAUAGAACGAUCGAUGAAUCAAAUUUUUUUGCACAAACAGAUUGGGAUCACAUGCUAUGUUCGUCAAUAUUCCAAUAUUGAAGCAUAUCUCAAGAUUUAUUUUUUUCCUUUCAAGAGCAAGAUAUGUGAUUUGUGAAGCUUGUUAAUUGACACAAAUUCCUGCAAAUAGAGAACAAAAUGAGAUUGCGGGAAAGAAGCACGUGAGAUGUCCAAUAUAGGAACCAAGGAUAUAGAUGGAUUAUUUCCUAAAGUUGGGGAAUUGAGUGGGGCUAAUUGCAUAACGGAUCUUCUGUUUCAUUUUCUGUGUCACUCUCUGUCUUACUUUUUAUUAUAUUGAUAUUUUUCCUUCAUAAACAUCAUGUUUUAGUUCUUUUUUAUUUCCUUAAAAUCCAAUAACUAUUAAUUGAGUAAUAUACAAAAUUUAGCAAACUCAAAAAAUCAAAAUGCAUAAAAUUUGAGAUUUUUUAUGAAUUUUCUACUGUAUUUUUUAAUUUUUCAUUAUAUAUUACUUUUUUUAAACUAUGGUAUUUAUUUUUUACUCAAUUAAUAGUUAUUAGAUGUUAAGGAAACAAAAAAGAACUAAAACAUGGUAUUUAUGAAGGAAAAAUAGCAAUAUAAUAAAAAGUAAAAUAAAGAGUGACACAGAGAGUGAAACAGAAGAUCUGUACGAGGUAAUUGGCAGAAAAUAUGUUUUCUGUUAAUACUUGAAAACAAACCUUAUGGUUUGAAAUAAAGUUGGUAUGCGAAAUAGUUCAAAUCAUAUUGUUUUACAUGUAUUCUAAUUAUAUCUUCAAGAUAUCAAGAAUAGUUACGAAUAAAAAAAAGGAACCUUGAGAGAUCAAACAUCACAACAAAUUAGUCAGACAACGCAUAGUAUGUCAAAGACAUUCAUAUGUUAUACUUUACCCAAAAAAAAUACAUUAAUAUGUUAUUGAUGCUCUAAAUAGUUGGCCAUAAUUACAAACAAGAGUUGUUUAAACGUCAUCCAAAGAUUUAUAUGAAUAUUAAUUGCUUUUUGAGUCCAAAACUUAUGCAGUGUAGUUUUUCUCUUGUAAUGUAGUGAAAUUCUAACCUAUGGUAGUCUAACCAUCCUUUUUUUCCCCUCCUGUCGUUACUCUUAUUCCAUAGUUGUAUCUUUCCUAACACUCUCUCAAACUCUUUUGUAUUCUUUUUUUAUAAGUACUCUAUAUCAAACUUAUAGGUCUUGCCAUCAAAAUCACAAAACUAUAAAAAUAGCAAUCCAAAAUUUGGUCAAUCCUUGUUAAACAUUCAUAACGCACUUCUAAUUGCUCCACUCCAUAACAACCAAGAACAAGCCAACCAUAGAUUCUAGCCCAAGAGAAAAUGUCUCUAAUUGCUCCACUCCUUAAGGGCUAAGAACAAAAGAAUUCAGAGGAAAUUUUGAUGUGUAACAUGAUCACAUUCUUGUUAUAAUGGUAACUCCAAAACAGCACAAUAUCAUCAUUUAAUAUACAUUCUUGUGAGAUAAACAUGUGAUUAACUGAAAUUUGUCUCUAAUUGCUCCACUCCUUAAUGCUUUAAAUGAUUUGGCUUAAACUCAUUGCCGCCAAGGGGCUUUAUGGUCAAUUAAUAAACACCAUCAGUUUAAAUACAGGAUUGAACCGAAAGCUAUCUAUGUGAUUAGGUUCGGACUAGGCUUGUUUUACCAACGUGGGGCCCCCAUAAAACUGCACGCCGGCUGCCCGCGGCCGGCGGGAAAUCGAUCUUUGCGGCAAAAAGGGGCCCAACGCUUGGCCAAAGGCCCGCCAAAACAUGUUAACAAAGAAGCAUGUAUUAUUUUGGUCACCCAAUAUUUUAGCAGUAUUUCCGGUUUGGCACCUUCGAAUUAAUAGACUUGUAUUAAGCACAAAAGCUAUUUAAAAUAUCAUCCUUUUUGUGCUGAUGUUUCGUAUAAUUAUGUUAUUGAAAGAAAUUAUUUAUGUGGAAUAUUCUUUUAAAUCUUUUGUAAGUGGGAGAUCCUGAGUCUAAAAUUUUUAUUUACAACCUCUCCUAUCUUAUCAUCCAACUCAACCUUCCUUUUUCUGAGAAGUAUCAUAAACUUUGUUUUGAAUUUAAUAUGAUUUUUUAAAAUAGAAUUAGAAGUUGUAGCACCUCUGAUUUUUUUUUUAAAAAAAAAAAAAACUUAUGAAAGAGCUAAGAACAUAUUUUGAAAAGUAAUUGAGAAUAGAACAAAAAUUAACUCCUCUACAAUCAAAAUUGAAAAUAAGGCAUUUAGAAUUAUUUUAGGCUAGAUCCCAAAUAUCUCUUCCUCUGAUUGGAAGAUUUGAGGGAAAAAAAGCAAAUUUAAAUUAGCCAAUGGUGAAAAAUAUGAGAGAAAAACUAUAAUAACUAAAUAAAUAAAUAAUAUUCUCAUCAUAUUGAUAACUCCUUUUUUUUGGGUGGACGCGUGUCUGUGUUUUCUAGAGUUUGGGUAGGGCUCUCUUGUUCAUUUGAAAGUGAACUUGACUAGGCUUGACUUUGAUGUUGUUAGUUCUUCCAUUUGUCAUCCAUUUGGCAAUUGGCAUAAGAAUUGAAAUCGUUAAAGUGGGAAUCAAAACUAAUUAAACAAAUAUAUGCCGUAAGUUUAAGAAAUUUUUUUAUCCUCUAGGUUUGCACUUCAUUUUUUUUUUAAUAUUUCACAUUUGUUCAUGGAAACAGUCAGUCCCAAACAUUUGUAGUAUAAUUUCUUCUUGCAAUUAUCACUACUCAAAUUAUACAUCGCUUACAAUCUUUUGUGGGGAAGCAAUUCAUCCUUAUCAAUUGAACUAACUUGUAUUGACUUUUUUCGGUGAAUCUAUCUAACUAUCUCGAGUAGACUCAUCUCCAAAAUGCUUGUGCAAAUAACUAACGAGCAUAAACCAAAGGAGAAUACAAUCAAGCAAAAAAAAUUCAAUGCAGGGAUUUCUAAUGCCAGCAGGAAUGUUAUUAAUCAAGAAAUCUAGAACUUCCUUAAAAUUUGUCAUAAAAUACAAAAACAUUUCUCUAUGGCUUCCUGGAAUUAUGAUGGCCUCCUCUAUUAACUUUUUCCCGUUGCUAUUAGUCUUUUGCCAAUCUUAUUUGUAAAAGGAAAGUCUAAAAUCAAACCAUUUGUUAAAACCAACAAUGUAUAACUCAAAUUCAAACAUGAUAUAAAACAUUUUCUAGUACUAUUUGGCUUCAAUUAGAGUUUAAACUCGAGAUCUCUCGGUCCUGAAGAUAAAAGAGUGAUGCUGUAAAUUUAAAACUACAUGAAAAAGUUGUAUAAUUAUCAACAAUCACAUGGUAUACUCGUGUAUAAUUAACUCCAACUUAAUUACUUAUAUAUCGUGGGCAUAACCUGUAGAAGUAACAAAAUUAGUCCCUCAUUGUGGAUGGACCAUUCACAGAAAAAUGCCUUUUCCUUGUGAAGGUAAAUGCCAUCUCUCCUUGCUGCAGUGUGUUAGGAGAUUAAAAGCUUUGCUCUUUCCCUUCUACAAAACAGUCAAAACAUCCUCUUCCAAAUUUAGCAACGUUGGCAUCAGAUUCAGACAUGUAUAGGGCUCACUCUCUUAAUCACUAUCAUGUCAAUUACUUGAUGCCCCAAAGCUUUGAGAGGAGCGACACAUCUUUUUGGUACCGGCAUUGAGAAGCAAAAGUGUAUGCUCCUUACCAAACGAUAAACUGACUCUUGAUAACGAUUGUCACAAAAUUUUGGUCCCCUUUUAGGGCAAUGAGGUCUUCAUGAUCAAGUUUUAAAAAUGGGAUUGAAAAUCAGGAAUAAGAGGUUUUGCGUUCAAGUCUGGCUAAUGCUAUUUGUGGGUUGAUAAUUGUGAAUGUUGACCAUAGUUUGUUUUAAAGUCUUAUUAUCUUGUUUGAUAUUCUCAAGGGCCAUAAAUAGGUCAAGAGAUUUAUGGCUCAAGGUUGAUUAAGCUGUAGAUUGAGAAACAUUUGUCAUUCUUGAACCAUAGUUCUUAAUUGCAAUAAUUAAACCAAAAUUUGCAUAUGAAAAUGACAAUUUCUAGUUUUAUUAUUAAUUUCUUCAAGUCCUAAACGACAAAAACCAAAAGCAUUAGCUCCUAGCCCCUAGCUCCUAGCUAAUAGCUUGAUAGGUUAUUUUCUGAGCUUACUUUUUUUUUUCUUUUUUAAAAAAGUUUUAACUUUAUUUAGUCAAGACUACUUCUUUUCCAAAGUCAUAGUUGAAUAUUUUUCGAACAGAUGGCCUCCUAUUUCCUAUGAGCCGCUGCAACCUGGCCCUUCAUUCUUCUCCCCCAUCCUUUUGCAUUUGAAUAAGUUCUGCUGAUUAAUUUAUUUGACACAAAAGACAUGAGAUUUUAGCCUCAAUCUCCAGCAAUUGAUGAAGUAUCGUAGACUUUUUAAGAGUAAUCAUGCAGUAUAUAGUACAAAGAAGCUAAAGAAUGAACUAAACUAACAAGUUGAUGAAUUUAUUCCCAACAAAUCAUUAUGGCCCCCGAGUUUUAAUCAUGAUUACUGGCAUUUCUUUACAAAUUAUCUUGUCUGGAUCAACAAAUUGCAGUUGAAAGUACAAGAAAAGUAUGAGCUUUUUACAACCAGCAUCAACCUCUACUGCAUUAGGAGAACUUCACUUAACAAGAAAAAUACUUGAUAUCCUUUUAGGUGCACAGGAGUUGGAGGAUACAAAAUCAGCACAAUGAAAAAGUAAUUAUAUCUAGUGUUGUUAGAGUUUGAAUAUCUGACAAUGUUGAUACAAAAGUAAUUUUUUGGGUGUUUGUCUAAACUUUACUGUAGCUUAUUGUAGAAGUUUUUUAAAAAAUUUUUGAAGUGUAUAAAUUUUUGAAUAUUUUGAAGUGUAUAGUUUAAAAAUUUUGAGAAGUUUUUUGAGAUUGCUGUAGCAAAAGUUUUUUAAAAACUUGUAGCAGAUGAACUUGACAAAAAACUCAAGUGCCAAACAGGGAAUCACUAUGGCUAACUACUCACCCGUUUUAAGUAUAUAAUGCUUCACUAGAUUUUGGAAAAAAAUGCCAUGUUAUUGAUGCGACAGCCAAAGGUAUAACAUAGGGACUGUUCUUGGUUGUUGCUGAUUUUGCAAAAAAGAUAAUUAAUCAGAAUCGACAAAAGUCAUUCUUGGAUUUGUUUUAGAUUUUGGCUUUCACAAAAGUAAACGAGAACAUCAGAAGUUCAAUUAUUAGAGUCUAAAAUCAAGUGAAAUAAUUAAACAGUAACUCUAAUUGAUUGACAUGUUUUAAUAAUCCUUUUUUGGCAAAGCAAUAGGUCAAAUUAUAAUCCACGCCUACCUCCUUAAACCUUUAAAUUAGAUAAUGUCGGCAUUGAGGGCACUGAGGGGGGAGGAUUGACUACAAAUUGAUAAUCAGGGACUUGGCUCUCCUCAAUGGGGAUGUUUUUCUUUUUAGGAGCAAAGGUCCCCAUUUUUUUCUAUUUUAUGAAGUGAUAAACCAUCUUUAUUCCGUCUCUUCAUGCUGUAAAUACUACUUUUUCCAUUAUUAUACACACUUUGGUCCCCUGAUUAGGCCUUGAUGUGAUAAAUUGAGAAAUUUGAGCUAAUUAUUACUAGUUAAAAACAUAUGGACGUCAUGAGCAUAUCCCCCCCCCCCCCCCCAUUCUGCUAAUCAGUGAACUGGAACAACUCAACGUUUCUAAAGUUCCCUCUGCCAUGUUUGAAAAGGAGACGAAUGACAUUUUCUAAAGCACAAUGUUGGAGAAAGCGAAUUGUUUCUAAGUACUUAAAAAGACAGAAAGGUAUGUCCAACAUUAGAAUUUAGAACUUAGAUCACAUCACACCAACGUUAGAAUUGAACUUUGGUCUUUAAGUUUUCAAUUCGUCCGUUUGAUUAUUUUUUCGGGUAGAUUACCUUUUACCUCAUAUAAUUUGGUACUUUAUCACAUCACUCUCUUAUAGUUUAAAAAUCUAUAUAUAACACCCUCAUAGUUUAGGUUAAAGUGUUACUGUUAGUUUUUCUGUUAAAACUAAUGGUUAAUAGUAAAGAGUCAAAGUCAAACUAAUAAAUUGACAAAUUCACUCUUUCACUACUUUUUCUUCUUUUUCCUUUUUUCCUUUUCUUUCUCUCUCUUUUUUUUUUUUUGGGAAGAGAGGAGAUGAUUUUGAAAUCCUAUACUUUGAUUCUUAAAAUCUUAAGCUUCUCCAAAUACAAAAGAGUUGGAAGGAAGACAAAAAAUAAAUAAAUAAGAAACAAAAAAGAAGGAAGGGAAAUAUAAAACAAAUAAAUAAGAUACAAAAAAUACAAAAUCUUUUUUUACUACAAAUAUGAUUGUAGGUUUUCAAACCAAAUCUUUAAUGGUAUUUUCUGUUUUUCAUUUAUCUAUUUUAUAUUUCAAUUUCUUCUUUUUUAUGUUUGGAGAAAAAAUAGAAGUAAUGGAAGGAUAAAUUUGUCAAUUUAUUAGUUUAAAUUUGACGUUUUACUAUUGACCGUUAGUUUUAACAGAAAACUAAUGAUGACAUAUUAACCCAAAUUAUGAAGCAGUAGUUAUACAUAAAUUUUUAAACUAUGGGGAUAUAUGAUAAACACCAAAUUGGUAAAAGGUGAUUUACCCUUAUUUUAUAUCAUAUGAUAUUUCAAAUCGUUACAAGUAACACUCCACAGCAAGCAAGUGCUUGUAUUCAAUUUCAGCUGAUAAACUGCAUACAUGGAGGAUUAAGGAUCUCCCCAUACAUCAAUAAAUAAAGUUCACAGACAAAAAGCGAAAAAGGUUAGGAGGGAAUGUAAAGAUAAUUAACCAUUAAAACAUAAAACUUUUGUUAACUAUGGUGAAUUAGCAUUUACAAAACAUACUACACGUAUUAUCAGAUCAUUUAGAUAGACGAAUCUACAAAAAAAAAUUUAAAAAAAAAAGUGAUUAACCCAAGUUGAUAAAAAAUUUAUAUAUAUUUGCUCUACAUUAAUAUAUAUUCUAAAUUAAACACAGGACCGGGUCAACUAUUCAAUCAAAUGAUAUUGAGCAUGUUUCCCAUCUCUUCUCGAGAAAUAAGUGGGUUAUUUCUUUGUAAAAUUGUGUUCAAUUUCAUAUGUGGCAAUUCCGCCAAGAUGAAUAAUCUACACUGAUUAUGUAAGUUCCUCAGGAAUCUUGGAUUGUCUGAAUCCUAGAUUAGCUUGGACAAACGUAGCACUAGAGACAUUGGACGUAGGCAGUGACUCCAGUCGUAUAGUUGUCAUUUGGGCCUAUUAUCAUUUAAUCUUCUAACCCAACUUUGACAAGGGCAAUUGACCUAUUCAUAGCUAUCAAAUCAACUUUAGUCAGCCCAGUAUUUCUGAGGCGGCACAUAAAUACAAAAAUUCAUGCACGUUUAGAUUCUUUAGCAGAUUUGACGGCUAAGAAGCCGAAACCCACACGUAUACGCUACCAGUUAAAUGUUUGUUCUUUUCUUGUAUUCAUUUGCAUGUCGGCUAACUGUUGUGAGUUGUCUAUUUAUUGCUUUUCAUUUGGAUUGGCUCUCAAUUCCUUGUGGAGCUGAGCCAAUUAUUACGUUCAAAUCUUCAUGUUGACUCGUAUGAAAGUAAACGAUAUCUAAGUGCUUCUAGAUUAGAAGAUUGCAGAAAAGAGAAUCGAAACUGUAUACUGUGUGUGAAGUCCCAAAUCUACAAAAUGGCACGUUCAUAAUCAUUUUGCUCAAGAAAGUCAAGUUCACAAUUCAGUCAAUUGUGGUUGGAUCAAUAUAAAUAGAUUUACAACUUAACCCACAAAUAGUGAGGCGAACACUAACAUUAAAUUAAAUUCAACACAACUUUUUGAGAAAUGUUUAAUUUGAUGUGAAUAUGGCAUUUAGUAAUAGUUUUAACUUUUAUAUCGUCCAAAAUUCAGGAAAAAAAAAAAAAGUAAAACCACAACUGUGUAUUAGUUUAGAUCCAAAAUUCUGGUAAACCCGAUUUUCAAAAAUUUAAUCGUCCAAAUUGUGCCACAUCACACCAUAAUGUGACACGAUCUAGACCAUUAAAUUUUUUAAAAUCUGAUCUAUCCAAGUGUGAGUCGUAGUUCACUGUACUGAUACAAAUGAUUUCCAAAUAAAAGCCUGAGACGAGAUUGUGCAUAGCAUGUUUGAAUCUUGAUCCUUUUGUCAUAUUUUAGAACACUAGAUAAAGCGUGAAAAUCUUAUGAUCAUAAACGUGAUGAAUAAAUUGUCGAUUUGUUCAACAAUUAGAUGCUUCACAUGAAUAUGCAAAGCUAACAAUAUAAAUAGCUAACGUUAGAUACCCCUUGUUUAAGACAAUACUUACUUUACUCAUCAUCAUUGAAACAAAUAUAUAGCAAAAAGAAGUAUCCAUAAGCAAAUGCCAUCAAAUAUUAAAAUUAAAUUUAUUUAAUUGUCGCAGUAAAGCUUUUUUUUUUUAAUUAUCUUGUGACUUUUAUGCUGGAUUGUGAUUAAUAACUAACUAGUUCCCCAGAUGAUUAUGUGGUUCUUUUUUUUUUUUUUAUGAGUGUCACUAUAAGUGAAAUCAGUACGAGAAUACCUACUUUUAUUUUUUCUUAUUAUUAAAAAAAGCCUCAGAAAUUAGUUGAAUUCUGAUAUCUCAAGCUAGAAAUUGAUUUAACCACUAUCUAACUAUGCUAAAUAUUUUGGAUUGUAUAUAAUAUAUCUUCUACAUUAUGUGGGCUGGCUUUAUUUCUGUGUAGCAAAAAGAAAAUUAUAAUGCUUUAUCAAGAAAUUGAAAAAAAAAAAGGGAAAUUUUACUCUUGUUAGUCAAAGCUACUAUUGUUGACCUACCAAACCCACCUGCAACCUCUACUCUUUCGCUCUCAAACUCUCUUGAUCACAUGGAAAUCAAUUUUUUUGUUCACUAACCACCAAAUAAACAAUCAUUACUCAUCGAAUAUGUUCAGAGAAUGGUUCAGAUUUCGAAAUCAAAAUCUGAGUCGUUUUAUCAUGUUUUUUCCUCUUUGUUGAGUAUUUUACACUGGAUUAGUUCGAGUAAUUUAUAUUUCCUUGAAGGAAAAUCAAGCAAUCAAAUAAUUGUUGCAAAAAAAAAUGAGAUGUAGUUAGCAAGGACAAUGAGAAGCAUUUAUCAAGUCAAUUACAAUGGUUAUUUUAGCUCAAUUUCUGUUUCAAUUUUGACCUUUUAUUCAUUUAACUACUAAGAUGUAAAGGAAAAGAGAUAGCAAAAGAAAUUUUGGUGCAUCUUAGAUGUUCCCCACUUGGCUUAACAAAUUUAUUAGAGCUAAUCUAAAAUGUGUGGUAUUAUGAUGUGAUUAAUAAUGCUUCCUGUUAAAAUGUUAUAAGAUAAUAUAAGGAAAAACUAAAUAAUGAGUAUGAUGAUGUUAGAAAAAAAAUAACAGCUAGCAAUAUAAAAUAUAUAAGAAAAUUCAGUUACUAUUAUAUUUAUCACAUGAUCUCUAAGUGGUUCCAGAGGCCAAGGCUAUACAAGCUUUUUUCUAUCUAUUUUUUGUGGAUCUAGAGAUCAGGCCUAGAUAAAUUAAAAAAAAAAAAAAAGAGAUCAGGUCUAACAAGCUUUUAGUCUAUCUAUUUUCUAAUUUGUUUAGAAACAUAAAAGGGUAGGGUUUUGAAACAAAUCGUAUUACCAAUCGUAUCAUCCUAUACACGGCUCACAUCGAAGUAAACGAGUUCGAGUCGAUUUUAGUCGUCGAUUUUUAAGCUUGUGAAAUUUUGAAUUCAACAACUUAGCAUGUGUUCCAAUUCAAGAUAGAACAACACCAUACCUUCGGGGGAGAGGGGCUAGUGCAGUUGAAGUCUAGUACGAUUCCCGACUGUUAUAUUUUUUAUAUUAUUUGAUGUAUAAUUAUAUUACAUUAUUGUAUUUAAAAUAAAAGUGUUUUACGUGAAUAAAAUAUUCAAAAAUUUAAACAUGUACAACAACUGAGCAGAACUAUACAUAACAUAAUUAUGCUGAGUUCUUGCCCUACUUUUGGACUACCAACCGCAAGUGCCCAUGAUCCCAAAGAUCAGGUAAAAGAUGAACGGAGGACUCAAUAUCUUUACAAUAAUAAAGCUUAUGUAGGUAGUUAAUUUGGUGUUAAAUUUGUUAGUUUUCAAAUUUACCCUCAUCUUUAUUAUCCAUUAACCCUCAUUUCUAUUAUCAUCUGGCAUACAAUUUCUGCACAGCCAAAACUACCUCUCUCUAAUUCUCACGUUCUCGCUUACCAACCGUCUGUUUACUUCCAAUUGUACAUAUUUCUGUACAAUACACUUUUUGUUACACAUUACACAAAAUAGUUAUAUUCACUUGCACUAAUUUUUUGAUUUUUUAAUUAAUAAUAUUUUUUUUUUGCAAAUUGCACACGCAUCGAGUGUGUCUCGAUAGCUAGUAGUUAGUAAUGGGCUAAUAUACAAGAUCAUAUGCGUCUGCAUAUAUUAUGUGUAAGCAGUUAAGUUUCUUGAGGGUUAAAAGGUAGGGAGUAUGGAAUUUUUGCCUUUUUUUUUUAAUUACGAGUAUAAUACCAAUCCUUUUCUAAGUAGUACCUCAAUAGUAUGACUAAUAAAAUAAUUAUCUCGCAUAUUUUAUACUCAAUUUAAUACGUACGUUUUAAUUGCAAACUCUACAAUGAAUUUAACGCUUGGUCCUACCAAAAGAUCUUGACAAAUUCUUCUGAAAUUUAUUAUCCCCGAACCCCACAUGUAUAAUAGAAGCCGUGGUGAAUGUGGGGCGUAAUCGCAGAUGCCGCUCCAAGUCGCAUGAUAACGCAGUUGAAAACUUUGACAUUACCAUGAUAUUGAGCAAAUUAUGUGGGUAAUCACUGAACCUUUUGAAAAGUUGAGUUUUAACUACUUAACUAUUAAUAGUAUAUUUUUUUCAUUGAAUUGUUAAAGGUAUAAAUUUUGGAUCAUUCUGUUUGAUUUUACUAUUAACUCUGAAAAAUCUAACUGUUAAUAGUAUGUCUUGUAAAUCGUGUAGACCCUUAGAUUUGGCAGAGUGAAUGGUGAAAUCAGACAGAAUGGUCCAAAAUCUAAGUACUUGAUAGUUUAAUGGAUAAAAACAUACUAUUAAUAAUUUAGUGGCCAAAUUUUAACUAUUCAAAAAGUUCAAUGGGUAACGGAAUAUUUUGCUCCCAUGAUAUCUUAUGCACUGAACAGAAGGAAUCCAAUAUAGGAGCAGAAAUAAAUUAGUAUAAACUGACGUGCCUAAAUCCUAACCAUCAAUGUCAAUCCAACUUGCACGGCCGGACUUGAUCUUCACCGUCACUUCUCUUUGGCUGCCACACCCUGAGACUAGAGCGAAAAGGCGAAUAUGCUCUGUGUGGUGUGCAAAUUAAGAAAAAAAAUUAAAUUAUUUCUAUUAAAAUCAAUGAAAGUUAUCAAAGGUCCUUUUUUUGUCAAAAAAAAGAAGUUAUUCUUUUUUGGCAAACACAAAAAAAAAGAAACUAUUCGAAGUGGAAGCUAUUAAAAGCUAUUAAAUUUAAGUAGUUAUUUUUAGUAAAUUUCUACUUUUAUAAGGGUAAAAUUUUAAAACCAAAUCUCCUCUCAUGCGUUAUACAUAGAAAGAAAUAGAAGUUACUAGAAGUUGCUAAACUCAAGCAGUUAUUUUUAAUAAAUCUUUAAUAUGGUGAGGAUAAAUUUGGUGUUUGGAUUGGAGUUUUCUACCAAAAGUUUUUAAGUUUUUCGUGAGUAUGUUUUUUUAAUCACCUUUUUAUCUGAUAUACAUUAAAUUGCCAUAGUAUAUUUUUUUACAAAAAUUCCAGAAAAUAACAAUCCAACUGGGAGAAAACCAGGAGAUGACAUAAAAUUUAAUAUCAAAUCCCUUCUGCAUGGUUUAUAGAUAGAAAUAUAUCAUUCCUUCCUUCAAAAUUGAAUGUUUCAUUUAAACGAAACUAUUUAUGUUGAAUGUUAGCCUUCAGCUGAUUAUCCAUUCUGCGUGCAAACUUGUGUACAAAAAAAGAAAAGAAAAAAGAGUAGAAAGAUAAUUUAUUUCAGACUUAGAAAGUACAUAUAUAAUAGAGUAAAUCUUAUAUACAUCGAUAGUAUAUAUAUUAUUAAUCGCCAUGCUUCUCAUAAUUGCAAUUCUAAAUAUGGAGUACAUUAAAGUCUAUUGAGAAUGCAAAUAUGCAUAGCCUUGUAAGAAUUUCUUUUUCUUUUUCUUGUAUAGAAACUUGCAAGAAUUUCCCAGUGUAAGCUGGAAAAUAAAUUUUCUCCAAUCUCACAUGCUCAACUCUGAAGUUUGUCCCAAUUUCUAAGUGAAACAUUUUUAGCUAAAUACUUUGGUGCGUGUGUAAAGAAAUUGAGACAAGUGUCUAAUUGUGAAGAUCCUCAACAAGCCUUUUUUAAGAAUUAUUAAUCACUAGUCACUACAUUAUUAAUUACACAAUUUUCAGUUACAAACAAUAAAUUUAAGGAUAAAUGAUACUUAUACUGGAUUGAAGAUUUUUUUUUUUUUUUGAAGCUAAUAAAUAUCCUUUAGUUUUGAGUAACAAAUCAACUUAUUCUAUAAAUAUAGAUAAUUGUGAUUGGAAUAAUCUGUUGAGUUGUUGUUUGUGUGGCUAUAAAAGCAUUGUCAAGCAUCAAGCCAUUGUUUAGCUAAUUGUCAAAAUUCAUAUGAUUAUGAUUAACAACAAAUCAAAGUCAUGAUCCAUAUUGAAACCUCUCUUGCAAUUUUCAACUUGAAAUAGAAAAGCGGCUUUGUAAAAAUAUAUAAACUAGGACAUGAGAAAGUAUAUAGCUUCACAAAAUUUUUGAACUAAAAUCAUAAUGAAAAAUAGAAAAAAAAAAACCCCCAUACAUUGCAAUCUUUUGGGUUGAUUUUCUUACAGAAUAAUCUUUUUGAGAUCCCUUAAACCUUAAAAAAAAAUAUUUAUGAAAUCAUACAGUAUUAUACACUGGAAACAUUGCUUUUAUUAAAUUGUCCAUGAAAUCUUAUAAAUUCUACAUAUAAGAUAGUAUGGAAAACAAACAGAAUAAAAUUUCUAUGAAUAUGCAAUUCUCAAGAACUAUUGAAUGCAUAUUUCAACUCAGUGUAUAAAUUAAUGCCUUUUUUUUUUUGUUCCAAGAAUGAGAAUUUGUAGUGUUAUGGCGAUAACGCAUUAGCAAUAAUAGACAGUAGGAUUAAUUACUUCAAAAAAAAAAAAUCAUGGAUGAGUUUAUAUUGACCUUCUAAAGAAGUAAGGAAUUUCAAUUGAGACCCCAAAUUAAAGUCAAAAAGUUCGAAUUUGACCCUUAAAGAACAAAAUUUGUUUAUCUUCGCAACUUCUUUUUUCCUAAUGGAUUUCCAUUUUCUGAAUUUUUUGUCAAAAGAUAUACUAUAGUGAUUUGAUAUACGAGAUAAAAAAAAGUGUUUAAAAAAUGUGAUCACCAGAAAAACAUAAAAAAUUUUCUGCAAAAAACUUCAAUCCAAAAAAGUAAAAUUUUCUAACAACUUUUCAAUGUUGGAAGGUCAAAUUGAAACCUCUUUCACUUUUAGGGACUCAAUCUAUUGGAAACUUUGGUCAUUGUUGGAGGACCAAAAUAAAGCUAACCCCAAACAUUUGUUCAAGUGGAACAGAAAAGUUCCAAAAUCUGGGGUCCCAUUACAGCAAAUUUGCCUUUUUCCAAUUUAUUAGUUUGGCUCCUCAACCACUUUUGGCCAACCAAAACCAAGAUCGAAAAUUCAACACAUGGACAGAAACCGGCAUUCAGGGGUAAUUUAGUAAUCUCACAUCAACCCCAUUUCCAACCCAAAUCAAAAUCCCCCCCCACUAACUCUAUGAUUAGAUUAAGAUAUGGAUUAGAUACCUCCUAAUAUACGUUUUCCUCUCGUAAGCUUUAACGUUGUCAAGUCUCAUCAUCAUGACAGAAACACGCACUUUACACUACAAUUUUCACACACACACCCACGCACCCCUCGCUGGCUAGGCUUUCUUUCGCCACCAUACGUAUUCGGCCCCUAUAUCUACGUUUAUUUACGUACAGGUGUACGCACAUAUGUACGUAUAAGUAUGUAUUCCCAUCUAUGUCUGUAUAAAUAAUGAGGAGGUAAAAAUCUUUGCAAAUUGAAGUUUGCUUCUUGGAGCUUUCUCCCCCAAAAAGCAGGUACCAAACCUCCCGACUUCUCCCCGCCCUUUAUUUAUUCCCUUUUUUUUUAUCUCCUUCAUUUUCAACAAGAAGUUGUGGUUUUUCUAUUGAGAAAAUUUGACCUUGCCAUAUAUGGUUAGAAUUGUUCUUUAACUAAGAAACUCAUCUGACUGGGUCCUGAAUUUGAACCUUAAGUUAAGAUUAAGGAACUUUGGAGGUAUUAUUGAAGCUGGGUACUGUAGCAUAGUAAUUAUCUCGAUCUGGGGUUUUUGUUUUUUUGUGCUCUUUUGCUAUUGGGGUUUCAUUUCUGGAGAAUCCCAGAUCGGAAUAUUGUUGUUAUCAUGUAUUUAUAUGCGAUCAAAAUCUGAUCUUGAUGCUGUAAGUUGCCAUAUGGGAAGGUGCUUAUUUAGAAGUGAAUAAAUUUGGAGAAUAACUAGAAGAUUUGUUUGUUGCCUAGAUAGCUCAAAUUGGAGACCUUCUUGGUGUUGAGAAUCAGGGAUUUUAAUAGGAGAGGUGUUUUUUGGAGGAAGUAUUGAUAGGAUCUUGUAUUUACCAGUUUUGAUUUGAUUUGCUCAAGGGUUUUGUUAUAUGAUUUGAUUUAAUUUGAAGACAGGGUAUUUUGUGUUCCAGUCGGUGUGUGAAUUGAUGGGGAGGGGAGGCAAGGUUGGGUUCAAGCAGGGAAGUAGGAGGAGGGUUAGGCGAAUAGAUGAGGGUUCGGAUGAGUCAGAUGAGGAUUAUAUAGUGGGUGAGGAUGAAGGAUUUGAUGAGUCGGAAGAAGAGGAGUUUGUCGAUGAGGAUGAAUCAGAAGACAGUUUGGGUGAGUUUGAGGAAGAAGAGGAGGAUGAGGAAGAGGAAUUUGUACAAAAGAAGUUGAACAAAGUGAAGAAGGUCGGUAGACCCAAAAAGCGUUUCCCUCGGAAAAAACAAAAUGGAGCUGUUAAGCCAAAAACUAAGAAACGGGUUUCCUAUAGUGAAGAAGAUGAGUGUGAUGACUCAGAUGAAUAUGUUGGUGGAAGGAGAAAUGAAAUUGCAGAGCCAAGAAAGAAAAAAAGAACUUCUUAUAGAGAACGAGAUGAUGACAAUUAUGAUGAUUUGAAUGAAGAAGAUGAUGAUGACGACGACGAUGAUGAUGAGGAGUUUACGCUUGAUGAAAUUCAUGAUGAUGUAGAUGAUGAAGACGUGAUGGUGGAGAGAAAGAAAAAUAAAAAGUUGGGUAGGCCUCGGAUGCCAGAGAAGAGGAUUUCCAAAGGUCAGAAAAGAAAGAGGAACACCAAGGUUUCCAAGAAGAUGGUUAGAAAGAAACAAAGAGAGAAUCAUGGGUUGCCAAGGAAAUCAAGGCAUAAUACUGAUGGGGAGUUUAGAAAAAGUAAAACUAGAAUGGUCGAAAAGAACAAGAAGAUAACAGGACGGGGAGGGAGAAGGAGGGUGCUUUUGGAAUCUGAUUCAGAUUUUGUCAAUUCUGGUUUAUCUGAUUAUGAGUAUACAAUCUCGGAGGAAGAGAGAGAACAGGUUAGAGAAGCUAAUGAAUUCUGCAGAAGUCUGACGACUACUUUGAGGAGUUCUACUCCUGUAAAGAAGUCGAGGGAGGAUGAAGAAUCUGUUUAUCCGCAAAGAAAACGUCUAGUAAGAAAGGGUAAGGAAAAGGAAGAGGAUUUGAAAAUUGAAACAGGAAAGCAGGUGUGUGGAAUUUGUUUGUCUGAAGAAGGGAAGAGGACUGUCAGAGGGACACUGAAUUGUUGCAGUCACUACUUCUGUUUUGCUUGCAUUAUUGAAUGGUCUAAGGUGGAAUCCCGUUGCCCCCUCUGUAAGCAAAGGUUUGCGACAAUAAGCAAACCUGCAAGGUCGGACACUGGAUUUGAAUUGAGGACUAUGAUUAUUCAGAUUCCUGAGCGUGACCAGGUAUUAUACAGCCAUUCAUUUAAAUCUCCUUGGAGUAAAAUUAGAUAAUUUGAUAUUUCAAUUGAAGUGUGCAGCUUGUAUUGUUCUUCUAGUGAAUGUCCUUUUUUGGUGUACAGGUUUAUCAACCAUCUGAGGAAGAGCUUCGGGGCUAUCUGGAUCCAUAUGAAAAUGUAAUAUGUACUGAAUGCAACCAUGGGGGAGAUGACGCUCUCAUGCUUCUCUGUGAUCUAUGUGAUUCACCUGCUCACACCUAUUGUGUUGGGCUUGGACGUGAAGUUCCUGAAGGUAACUGGUAUUGUGAAGGCUGCAGACCAACUGCUCUUGAUUCCUUGAAUCCCCAAGGUCUGAAUCCUACACCCAAUCAUAGAACAAGUAACAGCUUGGCAGGUGUAUCAUCCCCCAUUACCACUGUAAGGGAGACUUUCGAUCUCAAUGAAGCAUAUGUUCCUGACACACCAUUGACUCAGGUAGCUGGACAGCCAUCUCCUAGGCUAUUUGGAGCAGACUUUCAAGCAACUUCACCUGCUUCUGGAUCUGGGGCUUUUACGUUAUAUGAAAGACGCAGAAUACAGCGUCAGAUACACCAAAUAUUUUCCAACAGAAGACAACAGGACACAGGAAUUAAUGGUAUACGGCCUACAGUCUCCGGGAAUGGCCUUUUUGGCUCUCAAGUUGGUCGGAUUCGGGAAUUAGCACCUCAACAUGCAGUAGUGCCAGAUGAGAGGAUAGCAUCUCAUAUACCUUUUCAGGGAAGAGUCCAGAACACUGCUACACACCUUGUGCAAAAUAGUGAUGCUUUUCCUCCUAUACCGACUCAUUUGAGAGCACCAGUGACUCCAUCUCAAGCUUCAACAUCUGGUGAUGGUUCUUUUGGUGGAUCCUUACAGAAGGGUUUUCCUGGGUUCAGUACCAGGAACAGUUUAGGAUCUGGUCAUCAACAAAUACAUCCCUGCAGUGGUAGAUCCAAUAUUGGGUCUGAUGCAAAUCUGUCUCCUCAUCAAUGUAGAGAGGUGAGCCCACGUAAUGUUGGAAAGGAACAAGUGCAAUCAAUGGUUAAAAGUCAUUUAAAAAGCUUAUCUCAAGAAUUGGAGUUAGGUAUGUUUAGUUUGAAAUCAUCCGCUUUUAACUGCAUAUGGCAGAAGUGCGCUUUAAAAUUCUAAAUAGUAUGCAAUAGACUAGAAGGGUUCUUCAUGUUCUAAUAUAACAUUUAUUACUGAGCUCUUCAGUUAAAUGAUAGAUGCAUUUUGCCUAUCUUGAGUCUUGAGUUACAACAACUAACACUUAUCAUUUUUACAAACAUGCGUUCUAAAAACUAACUGGCCAUCUUGGCAUACUCAUGUUAGAAGUAUCCUCUUUGUUUUCCUGAUUCUUGUCCUCCAUCAGAACAUUUAGGUGCCUUCUUUCCAAUAGAAAAGUUUAAUAUGCAGCAACACUUGCUUACAUUGAAAAAUGCCCUUCUCCUGUGAAUUUUAAUCAUAUUGUUUUUUCUAGUCCUGAAGUGGUCGAGCAUAAGACAAUUUUCUAGUGCCUAUAAAUGCGUCUUCCAAUCAUUUAAUGGUUUAAAGAAGUUUUGUUCCUCUAUUCCCGUUUCCCUUCCUUGAUCUCUUUCUUCAAGUUUAAGAUAACGGCAAAGCUGAAAAAUGUUAUCAUACGUUGCUGCAGACUACAGUACCUUCAAGGAUGUUGCAAGGAGCUCUACACACACCAUUUUAGCUGCAUGUGGGCUUGAGCACCGCUUGAAUGAAGUCUACCCUAUGCAAGCACUCUUAAUAAUCUGCUCACAUGCAGAGCAAAAGGCAGGUGGACAAUCAAGUCCUUCUAAAGAUCACUGCUCAUCUUGUUUUGAUUUGCUUGUGAGGAAUGUGGUGAGAGAGAUAAUGAACACCAGAGUUGCACUCUCCUCCAAGGGCUCGAUUCAGUUAGGUUGAUAUUGCUUGGCUUACCAUUCUUUCUGUCCAUCCAUUGACCCCAUUGGGCAACUCGUUUUUAUAGAUUUUUUCUACUUAGGCUGUUGAUAAUGGAAAGAAUUAUAGAAGAAUGGGUCGUCUCCUUGUCAAUCAUUGACUUUUGGGGGGUAAUAAUUAGUCAUUUGUUGUCUAUACAGGAGACAUUUUUUAGUCGCCAUUUCUUGAGAAAUUGCGAGCUUUCCCACUGUCAAUUUAAAGAUUUGUGUUCUUUGACAAACUUGAAGAUUUUGUGACUCUGUGGGACAGUCUAUUUCCACUGUCUUUCAUGUAAAAUUGUUGAAUUUUUCUUAAGCAUCCCUUAACCCUUCAUUUCUUUAUUAUUGUAGAUAGCAGCAAAUUAUUUCAAUUAUUAACUUCUUUCUUCCAGAAAGUUAGCAGCCUGUAUCGACAAUGGAUGGAGUAGCCUCAAGUCUCAAUUCGCCAUGUUGUUUAUAGCAUGAGAGUUGACAUUAUGAUUGUGCAGUUUAAAUUUAAUGAUGCACAAUAAAAAAAUUUCCAAAAAGGUGUGCAUGACUCAUAAAAGGUGUGCAUGGCUCCUAAUAAGCCUCAAACUCGAUAUAGACUGGAUCACUGAACUGAAGCUCAUUGGUUCACUAAAACAGUUUGUCACGAGAUUUGGGGCAUCCACAAUUUACACUCUUCAGAGUGUAAUUCACAUGCCACGUCAGCAUUUCACUUUCUCCUCUUUUAGCACACUUCAACUCAUAAUGGAUUACACUCCACAAGGUGUAAUAGCAUAGGUGCACAAUUAAAUCAAAUAUUUAUUUUAAUAAUGCAUAACUCAUAUCCCAUAAAUAAAUAAAGUAAUUUUUAAAAAUAAUUUUGUUAUUUUUAAAAAAUACAGUAUUAACUUUCAUUAAAUUUUUUACCUUUUGAAUUUUUUAUUUUCUAAAAAUGAUAUUAUUAAUUUUUAAGUUUGAACAAUAUAUCUUUUUCUAUCUCUCAAAAAUAAUAUAUUGUUAUUUUUUGAAAAAUAAUUAUGCAGAAAAUUAAACAAAUAUUUGAUACCUCCAAUGCGAAGAUAUCAUAAUAAUCCAUACUUAAUUAAUAAUUCGGAAUGUAAUUAGUUGAACUCCAUAACAUAAUAUUACAUGAUUUAAAUCAAAUAAAAUACGAAUAAUAACAAAUAAUUAACGUUGCAAAUUUACCGUUGCAAAAAAUGAACCUGAUCGAAGUUACUGGCCAAAAGUUUGUCCGACUCUUAAAUUUUGUAAUGGGAGCCACACAUUACACGCAUCAUGGGUAUUACACGGCCACAAUGGGGUGACCAUGUAAUAACCCAUUACAAUGUCAGACAUUACACCACCGUUGGAGAUGCUCUUAGUAGUCUGUGAAAAUGGUUAGGAGGUGUGCAACUGUGCACGAUAUUGUACUACUGGCACAAAAUUACCAAUUAUUGAGGCCCCAUGUCUUUUCUUGUGAAUGAAAUCCCUUUUAAGCAAACCUGCCUUUUUUUUUUAACCCCUGAAAACCCUUUUUUUGUAUUUUAUUUUAUUUUAAGGGCGUUUGUUUCUGUUGAUUGAAUUUGUCGAAAGGUUGUCAGUUGCAAACAUCAAACCUCAGUUAAUGACUGAUGCAAGUGUUCAUUGAUGGAAGGGGUUGUGAAAUCCUUUUAAGAGCGUUGUUUAUCUUAAUUGAACUUGUCUAUGGUUGUCAGUGGCAAACAUCAAACCUUUCAGAUCAGAUGGUAGCUAAUGCAAGUGUUCAUUCAGUCAAGGGGCUGUCCGGUGAUUGCCUGCGGCAACUGUCAACAGCAAUUGAUGGCUCCAAUUAAGCCAAGUUUGAUGUUCCCCAAUCUUGUCUAGGCCGUGCGAACUCUUCAUAUAUAUAUAUAUGCGUGUGUGUGUGUGUGUGCUUGUGUGUACAUAUAUAUGUAUCUAUGUGUGUGUAAAUAGAUGGCCUACAUGAGUCGUGAACAGCCUGCCUGUUGACGCCCCAAUCCAAAAGAUCAGUCAUCAUGUUGUUUAUGUUAUGAUAUGAAACAGAAAUGUUCGAUGGAGAAGAUAUCACAUCUCCAGAACAAGAAAUGUAAUGGUACGAAUCAAAUGACACUAGUAUGGAUGGAUGGCCAUAAAGCUCAUUUCUGUAACAUACCAGUUUUACAAUACAGUAUCAUCCGACUUAGUAAUACCAGCAUGAAGGUUUUCCAUCAGUAGACGACCUUCUAUGCCUGAUUGGCAGUCAAAUAAAAGAUCACCUCCAUGAAAAUGAGAGGAGCAAAGAAGAAAUCAAAACACAGAUCAGAAACUCAUACAGGCACUACCGGUAAGUUUAUUCAUCUUCUUUAUCAAAGUAUAAACUGCACUUGAAGAAAGAUGAUACAUGAGUUCCUUUCUUUUCCUGCCUACAUAACUAAAUUCUACAGGCAACAUAAAUUACAUUUAUUACUACAGAUUAUUUCAAUCUUAGCUUAUCCAUACACUGGCAUAAGCGCUAGAGACAAACCACUGAUCAA